rnacentral:lncRNA from 1 species
AGGGUCGGGUAGGGAGGGAGGGUAAAACAGAGAGAUGGGGAGGGAGGCCGGAAGUAAUAGCUAAUACAGCGAUUUGGGAAGGGAUUGGAAAACACGGGAAUUUGGGGAUUAGGGGCGUAACCGAUUACGCGCGUAAUACCUAUUACAGCGAACCAAACGCCGGAAUAGGGGCGUAAUGUAAUACACACGUAAUCGAGGCGUAAUGGAUUGGGUAAUACGGCGAACCAAACACAGUGUAAGAGUUUUUAGAGAAAUGCCGUGUUCCCCAGAUGAUUACUUGAGAUGUGUUGUUUCUUUAUUAAAAGUAGAAGCUUAUAGUUGGUGGGAGACUGUAGAAGCUGUGAUACCAGAGGAGAAAAUCACUUGGGAAUUUUUUCAAAGUGAGUUUAAAAAGAAAUAUGUUGGUAAGAGAUACCUGUAUAAAGAGAAAAGGGAAUUCAUUGAUUUGCGAUAAGGAAAUCAGUUAGUAGCUGAAUAUGAGAGGGAGUUUGUAUACCUCAACAAAUAUGCUUGAGUUAUUGUAUCAACUGAGGAGAAAAUGUGUAUUUGAUUUGAGGAAGGGCUAAAUGAUUAGAUCAAAAUGAUGAUUGGGGGCACAGAAAUACAGGAAUUUGUUGUUCUAUCAGAUCGUGCUCAAAAGAUGGAAGAGGUGUACAAUAGAAAAAUGCAAAGAAAAAGAAGAAAUAAAGAAUCUUAUAAGAGAAGCUCCUCUAAGUCAUUUACAGCAUUUCCGGCUAAAAAGUUUAGAGAUGAUUUUAGUCGACCCACUUCAAUGUCAAAAUGAUCCAACAAGAAUAAAGUAACUCAACAAGAAUUUAGAGUAGCUGUUAAACCUAUAGCUAAUGUUGGUAGUGUACAGAAUGUAUUGAGGCCUAAUGUAGAAGCAAAGUGGGAGCUUGUUUUAAAUGUGGACCUACUGAUCAUUUCAUUAAAGACUGUCCUCAAUUGUAAAAAGAGGAAGAUGAAUUAAAAGAAAAGUAAAUAGCCACUUUUCAAAGAAGUAAAUGCUCAGGCCAAAGCAAUGCCACUGAGCUACCCGUUCGAAUAUGAGAGAUAAAACUGCUCGGUCAGAAGCUCGGGCACCUGUACAUAUGUAUGUUAUCCGAGCAUGCAUAUAUUUUCUAUCUUUUUGAUGAUUCUGUAUAUGCAUUGAUUGACCAACCCUGGGUCUACACAUUCAUAUAUUUGCACUGCAUUAGCAUCAAAAAAGAAAUUGUUUAUUGAACCUAUUGAUUAUGAUAUUCAAGUCACUAAUCCAAUUAGCCAAAGCGUGGUAGUUAAUUUAGUGUGUCGUGAUUGUCCACUGAAAACAAAAGGUUAUGAAUUCCCUGUUGAUUUGAUGUUGCUACCCUUUCGAGAAUUUGAUGUCAUUUUGGGAAUGAAUUGAUUGAUAAAACAUGAUACUGUAGUGAAUUGUAAAGAAAAAUGGAUUGAUCUAAAAUAUCAGAUAGGUGAAAUGAUUACUGUUGAAUCUGAGAAUCCAAAGGAAAUGGUCAAGAUUAUUUUAACUUUAUCCGCUCAGAGAUUAAUGCGGAAAGGUAAGGAGGCAUUUUUAGCCUAUAUUCUUGAUACUCGGGGUUUUGAAUCGAAGCUAGAAUAGUUACCAAUGAUUAAUGAGUUUAUUGAUGUGUUUCCUGAGGAAUUGCCAGGUUUACCACCAAAUCGUGAAGUUGAGUUUGUGAUUGAUGUGAUAGGAAUAGCUCCAAUAUCCAUAACACCAUACAGAAUGGCACCGACCAAGUUAAAAGAGUUGAAGACACAGUUGCAAGAAUUAUUAGACAAUGGGUUCAUCAGACCGAGUAUGUCACCUUGGGGUGCACCUGUCUUAUUUGUGAAAAAGAAAGAUGGAUCUUUGAGACUGUGCAUUGAUUACAAACAGCUGAAUAAGGUCACAAUAAAGAACAAAUAUCCUUUGCCCUGUAUAGAUGAUUUGUUUGACCAGCUGAAAGGUACUAUAGUGUUUUCGAAAAUAUGCCUCAAAUCCGGGUAUUAUCAGUUGAAAGCUAAAGAAUGUGAUGUGCCAAAAACCGCUUUCAGAACUCGGUAUGGUCAUUAUGUGUUUUUGGUAAUGCCUUUUGGUUUGACCAAUGCUCUUGCUGCUUUUAUGGAUUUAAUGAAUCGGAUUUUCCAACCAUAUUUGAAUAGAUUUGUAGUUGUGUUUAUUGAUGAUAUACUAAUCUAUUCCAAGAAAGAAUCCGAGCAUGCACAACAUUUGAGAAUUGUAUUACAGACUUUGAGAGAAAAGUAGUAAUAUGCAAAGUUCAGCAAAUGCGAAUUUUGGCUCCACAAGUUUGGAUUUUUGGGUCAUAUUGUGUCAGCUAAAGGGAUUCAUGUGGAUUCGAGCAAAGUAUCUGCAGUGAUGAAUUGGAAAAUUCCAAGGAAUAUAACAAAAGUGCGAAGUUUCCUGGGAUUAACAGGAUACUAUCGCCGUUUUGUUAUGAAUUUUUCGAUGAUCGUUUCACUGAUGACUCGACUACUACAGAAGAAUGUUAAUUUGUAUGGUUUGAUGAAUGUCAGCAGAGCUUUGAUCAGUUGAAGAAGAUGUUGACAGAGGCUCCAGUUUUGACUCAGCCAGAAUCUAGAGUUCCGUAUAUUGUUUACAAUGACACGUCUUUCAAUGGUUUAGGUUGUGUAUUGAUGCAGUCAAGAAAAGUAAUGGCCUAUGUUUCACGACAGUUAAAACCGAAUGAGAGGAAUUAUCCUACACAUGAUCUUGAAUUGGCUGCCAUUGUGUUUACUUUGAAAAUUUGGAAACACUAUUUAUACGAUGAGAAAUGUUAUGUGUAUACAGAUCAAAAGAGUUUGAAGUAUUUGAUGACUCAGAAAGAACUGAAUUUGAGACAGAGACGGUGGUUAGAGUUGUUAAAAGAUUAUGAUUUGGCUAUUGAUUAUCACCCGAGAAAGGCUAAUGUGGUUACAGAUGCACUUAGUCAAAAAUCGUCAUUGUUUUCACUUUGAGGGAUGAACGCUCAUCUAUUUCUUAAUGAAGACGGUUCUGUAUUAGUAGAAUUGAGAGCACAACCUGUGUUUCUUCAGCGAAUUCGAGAGUUGCAAGAUGAUGACCUGAAAUUAGUGUUGAAAAGACAGAUAGUUCGAGACAAUUUGAGUUCAGAGUAUACCAUUGAUGAUAACGAUAUGUUAUAUUAUCACAACAGAAUUUGUAUUCCGAAUAAUUGGGGUUUGAAAAAUGAUAUUCUUUUUGAAGUUCACAGUAGCAUGUAUUCUAUUCAUCUGGGUAGUAUGAAAAUGUAUUGUGAUUUGAAAAAGAUGUAUUGAUUGCCUGGUAUGAAACGUGAAAUCAGUGAGUUUGUUGCAAAAUGUCUGAUUUGUUAGCAAGUCAAAGCAGAAUAUCAGGUACCAACAGGUUUGUUGCAACCUGUCAUGAUUCCUGAGUGGAAAUGGAAGCAUGUCACUAUGGAUAUUGUAUCUAGAUUGCCUAUGACUCUGAGAAAGAAAAAUUCGAUCUGGGUCAUUGUGGAUAGAUUGGCUAAGUUAGCACAUUUUAUCCUGGUUAGAACAGACUUUUCACUUGAGAAGUUAGCAAAAUUAUACAUGUCUGAGAUUGUAAGAUUACACGGGGUUCCAACAUCUGUUAUUUCAAUUCGAGAUCCAAGGUUUACAUGGAUAUUUUGGAGUAAAUUACAAGAAGCUCUAGGUACUAAGCUAAAUUUCAGCACAGCAUUUCAUCCUUAAACUGAUGGCCAAUCAGAGCGAGUGAUUCAGAUUUUAGAAAACAUGAGAUGUUGUAUACUCGAGUUUGGAGAUAGCUGGGAAAGGUAUUUACCUUUGGCUGAAUUUGCUUACAACAAUAGUUAUUAGUCUAGUAUAAAAAUGGCACCAUUUGAAGCUCUUUAUGAAAGAAAAUGUAAGACUCCAUUGUAUUGGUCUGAAUUGAGUGAAUUUAAGUUAGUUGGAGUCGAAUUGAUACGAGAAACUGAAGAAAUCGAGAUAGUUUGAAAGCAGCUUCCGAUCGUCAAAAAUCAUAUGCAGAUUUGAAAAGAAGAGAUAUAGAAUUUGCAAUUGGCGAUCGAGUGUUCUUAAAAGUUUCACCGUGGAAGAAAAUAUUACGCUUUGGUAGAAAAGGGAAAUUGAGUCCAAGAUUUAUUGGACCGUAUGAAGUUAUUCAAAGAAUUGACCCUGUAGCUUAUCGGUUAGCUCUGCCUCUAGAACUUGAAAAGAUCCAUAAUGUGUUCUAUGUAUCCAUGUUAAGAUGGUAUAGACCAGAUCCUUCACACGUGAUUCCUCAUACUAAAAUUGAGCUUCAAUCAGAUAUGACUUAUUCAGAAGAACCAGUGAAUAUUUUAGCUCGAGAAGUUAAAGAAUUACAAAAUAAACGAGUACCGUUAGUUAAAGUAUUGUGGCAUCGUCAUGGUUUGGAGGAGGCAACCUGGGAAACAGAAGAAUCAAUGAGAUCACAGUAUACGUAUUUAUUUUCAAGUAACAAAUUUUGAAGACGAAAUUUCCUAAAAGAGGGAGAGUUGUAACAACCUAAUUUUCAAUGGUGUCGGAAACAGUGAUUCAGGAUCACUAAAUCCGACGAGUGAUUUUGAAAAUUUAAUAAAUUAAUAGUUAUUAGUCAAGUAAGAUUUUAGAAAUAUUUUUAAAUUAGUUAAUCUUGUGAUUUAAAAAAAUUUAUUAAGUAAAUUGGGUUCAAAACGAGGAAACAAGACCUUGAUUCAUAAAUCAAGCCUUAAAUAUUUUUAUAAAUAUUUACAGAGUGUUAGUGUAUUAGUAUUAAAGUUUCGUUAGAAAAUUUUAAUGUUUUGAUAGUUAAUUAAUUAAAAAGGACUAAAAUGAAAAAGGUGCAAAACUUGUUAAUUAAAGAAAUAGUGACUAAAUAUCUCAAAUAAGAAAUAAAAGGGAUUAAAAGGGAAAAUUAGCCCAAAGUGAAAGGUUUGGACGGCAUAAGUAGAAAACAAAAUAAAGGAAUUAUGUGAACAAGGGGCAAAAUUAAAAAUAAACUAAAAUUAAAUAGUUAAAAUAGGAUUAAAUUGAAUUUCUAGAGAUAUCUUCAUUUUUCUUCAGCCAAAAACUCCAUCGGAGGGUUUCUUAAGCUGGUUUUUUUUUCAUAUUUUUGCUACAUGUAGGUUCAAUUCUUGUUCUUUUCUUGAAAUUUUUAUGUCUUUGAAACUUUUACAACUAGGUCCAACUAUUGAACUCAUUAGUUUUAUAUUUUAUGAGUGAUUUUGAAAGUUUCCAUGGAUAAGUUUUGGAAGUUUAUGAUAAGUUAACAUGGAUUUAAAGCUCUAAUUUUAUUAUAUGAUGAUUUUAUUCAGUGAUUUUGAUAGAAAUUGAUUUUAGGACCUAAUUGUGAAAAAAUUAAGAAUUAGGGUCUGGUGCUGAAAUUCUGAAUAUCAAAGGUUUUGUAGUGGUUUAAAAAAGGAAUAAAGUGUUAAUUGAGGAAAAAAAUAGUUCAAUUGAUGGGUUAAUUGAUUAGGGACUAAAGUUCAAUAUGUGCUAAUGAGUGAAUAAUUUUAUAUUAUAGAUCAAGAGUCCAAAGAAAAUCGAGGAAAAAAGAAAUUAUCUGAAUAGUUCCUAAGCUACAACUUAAAUGAAUGGAGUUAAUGUGGUAAAUUUAUGCAAAUGAGUUAUGAGAUGACAUAUUAGAUCUAAAACUUGAUUUUUGGCUUGUAUUGGUUACUUGAUUUGGAUAUUUUGGUAUAUAAGAGUGUUUUGUGCAGGUUGAUUGUGAAAGGAUGAGAAAAAUGGCAUUUAAAUGGCCUAUUUUCAUCCUCACGAGCAGAGACACAGGCGUGAGUCUCAGCCAUGUGUGACACACGGCAAUACACAUGGGCGUGUAGUCUAGCCGUGUGUCCUCUGCAUAUUAAAAUUUAGAAACAGAAUACUCAGAAUUGAGCACACGGUCAAAGACAUGGGCGUGCGUCUCAACCGUGUGAGGCACGCGGCUUACCACACGAGCGUGUGGAUUGGUCGUGUGACCCAAGUCAGGGAGUUACACGGGUAAGACAUGGCUUGAAGCACGGGCAUGUCAUGGGACUAGAGCUGAUCAUGGCCCGGGCGGCCCGGCCCGGCCCGAAGGCCAGCCCGAAAAAUGGGAGGGUUUGGGUAAAAAUAUAGGCCCAAAAAAUGGGCUUAGGCAAAAAAACGAGGCCCGUUUAGAAAACGGGCCGAGCCUCGGGUUAGAGUUUUUUGGCCCGGGCCCGGCCCGGCCCGAAUUAUAUAUUAAUAUAUUUUUUAUUUUAUUUUUAAUCCUUUUAAAUUUUUAAUAUAAUUAUUUUUUAUUAUAUUGUUAAUUUGUGUAUUGUUUUAAGAAUUAUUUUUAUUUAUUUUAAUAUUUGUUUUUAUGUUUUUAAAUAUAUUUGAUUUAUUAUAUUUUUAAUUUUUUUAUUUAAUGAAAUAAGAAAAAAAAAUUAAUAUGGGUCGGGCCGGACUGGGCUCGGGCUUAGCACUUUUAUUUUGGGCCAGGCUUGGACAAAUUUUUAGGCCCAUAUUUGGCCUAAAAUUUUGUCUAGGCCCGGCCCGAACCCGACCCGGCCCGGCCCAUGAUCACCUCUACAUGGGACCACACGAGCGUGUCUCUUGGCCACACGGGCGUGUAACCCCUGUACCUAGGAAAAUUUUUGAAAUUUUGCAAAAAAUUUUGAAAUUUUACGAAAAAUUUUGAAAUUUUGCGAAAAAUUUUUUAAGUUCCCGAUUUAAUCCCGAUUCGAUUCUAAUACUUGUAUUGGGCUUUGUGGGUCCAAUUAAGGGAUAUUAUGAAUAAUCUCGAAAAUGUAUGGUAUUUGACAUGAAUUAUCUGUAAAUUAUCUGAAAACUCCAGUAAUGCUCCGUAACUCUGUUUCGACGACGGAUACGAGUUAGGGGUAUUACAGAGGAAGACAUGAUUGUAUUUGUAUUUUUCUAUAUACGAUAAUAAUAUAUAACAUAGUAUAUGGUUAUUUAUAAGUAAUAAUACAUAUUACAUAGAUUGAAAGUUUUUGUUGGGAAAGAUAAUGUAUCAGAGUUGCAGAGCAGGUAAGAAAAUUUCAUCAAAUAUAUGGUUUUUUUUUUAAAUGGUGGAUUGGGUUUCAGAGGCUAUGUGUAUUUGUGCAGAUGGCAUAAUUUGUCUGUACUUUCAGUGGCAACAAUGAAAGACCAUAAGCCAAGUAGUUGAUUUUCGAAUCACUCUAGGCAUCUCCAUUUUUUCUUCUUCUCCUUCUCGUUCUUCUUUUUCUUCUUCUUCUUCUUCUUUUUCUUUUUCUCUUCUUAUUCUACUACAUAAACCCUAAAUGGUUGUUGAUAUGGUUGUUUAAAUUUGUGCUAACUGGUCAGCUAGACGGUUAAUGACACCAAACAAAUCGUCAUCUACCAUAUGACUUUGCUGUUACGUCUGUAGUAGAAAACGACAAAAGUGAUUGUUUUGUCAUUUUUUAAAGUUAAGUGACUGAAAUGAAACCAAAGUAACUGUUUUGUGAACUACCUCAAAAUUGAGUGACUGUUGCUAUAAUUUACCCUAAUAUUUAAUAGUUGGAAAAAAAAUGUAAAAGUAUUAUUAUUACUUACCAAAAACUUGAUAUUAAAAAAAAAGUCAAAUUACCAUGUAUAUACUUAUUAAAGGUACUAUUUAUAGUUUUGAAAUUGGAGUUUUUAUAUAUAUCUAUAUCUAUAUCUAUAUAUAUAUAUAUAUGUGUAUUCUCAUUUUUAUUGAGUUUUAUGGGGUCAAAUUUAGGUUAGAUUGAUCUGUUUAUAUAUUGUUAUAUAUUUGAUUUAAUUAAUUCUUUUUUUUUCCACAAUGCUUAAAGCUACCCAUAGUUCCUUCCAAACUAUAAAUAGGAGAGAUAAUGCAUUUGAAUACACUCGAACCUACAUCCUCCUAUAUUAGCAACAAUGCCCAUGCCAAUUGAGCUAAAACUCAAUCGACUAAUUUAUUCCUUUUUUACAAAUAGUAUUUGAUACUUAAAUCAAUUAAAUAUCUUAAUUUAAUAAGUUUAAUUUAACAAUACUGUGCAUUUUACGAAUAAGCGGACAAUGGAUGAUGCAAAUAGUCAUUCGCAAUAGGAGCAAAUAGGCAUUUGUAAUCCACAACACCCUUCUAUUCUGUGCCACAUUAGAAUUAGCCAUAGAACUCAUCAUAAGAAUCAUAGACAUCUCAAAAACAACGAAUCAUAGAAUUUACAUGUAAAAUGUAGAUAUUUGUCGAAUCUUGGAGAUGACAUUGUUGUUGAAAGGGACAGCAUAGAUUCCCGGAAGAAUUAGUCUUCAUGAACCGGAAGAAUACCUUAAUUAUACCGAAGAAAAUUAAACAAUGAAUGGGCAGUUCAGUUACCAUUGACAGAUGGAUAAUCUUCGCUUCUCGGAUCGAUCAAUAUGGUGCAGAACGGACGGCAUUCAUGAAAGAAAAAAUCCGUGAUCGAUCCUUCUGAAUACCAUCCGGGGCGCAAAUACCACUACUUACAUCAACUCCAUGAGGUUUGAGAGUAUUAAUGGCCUCACUAACGUUAUUAGGGUUGAUUCCCCCUGCCAAAAGCCAACCAUGUUUGCUUCUGAUUGAAGGUAACUUAAACUGAGCCCAAUUAAAUCCUUUGCCACUGCAAAGCAUAUAUCCAAUACACUAAAACUCUCAAGGAAAAGGAACUCACUAAUUAUAAUGACAUAAAAAAGGCAUGUGCAUUGAAAAUUUCCUUUUUUUCAAACAAAUGGAAGUCACUAAUUAAAUUUAAAUGAAUAAAAAGGUUACUGACCUGCCACCUUUAGCACUAUCCACAAGAACCCAGUCUACUAAAGAACAGUCUUCUUCGGAAAUCUGGUUUUGAAGGCCUCCAUCUUCAUUUGCAUGAAGGACAUAUAUAAUUCUGUUUUCUUGCACCAGUUUUGGAAAAGCUGCCCGAGAAAGAUCUCCAUGAAGCUAUAUAAGAUUUGAAGCGACAACAUUAAGUGAUUUAUUACGCUACAAGAAAGGUAAUCUAGAUUGAACAAGAAUAUAUAGACCUGCGUGAAUUCAAUGUUUGAUGCAUCGGAAGCUCUUAAAAUUGUGUCUAAAUCAUCAUCCACAAAGACACCAACAGGUUCGGCCCCAUAUUCCCUUGAGACUUUUGAGAUUUCCUUUGCAACUGAAAGCGAAAUGGAGCGUUUGGACUUAGGCCAAAGGAUCAUCCCAAUGAAAUUGGCGCCGGCUUCUGCUGCCAUAGCAGCAUCUCUAGCGGAUGUAAUACCACACAUUUUGACUAAAGGAUGACUCUUUUCAUACCCCUUCAUUGAAGAAAAGUCUUGGUCCGAUUCUGCAAUUUUGCAUCUGACUUUAUUCUUUGGAUACGCCUUGAUUCUUAAGGCCAACGAUUUUCCUCCAUUUUGGACUGCUAAUAAAAACACUCAUGAGGAAACAUGACAUUUAAGCAUUCAAAGAAUCAUUUGAAAUAAAAAAUUACCAGUGAUUUGCCUCGAAUGAAAGCUUAAAACUUUAGGCUGGAAUUGACUUCCUGCAGUUAACCCUGUCUCAACAAUGAAUAUAACAGUAAAAAACAGUGUCUUCCAACUAAAAUAAAGCUAAGAUACAACACAAAGUCCAUUGCACUUUAAUUAAUGAUACCAAAAAGAAACUAAGGAAUACAUUAUACAUUGAAAAGUAAAUAUUGGAUUCAUAAUCUCUAAGGAUUACAUAGCAAACUAUAGAUUAGACUGACUAGUCAUUUAGAUAGAGAGGGUCAAACAAAUUCCCCAAGUAUAUAAUAAAAACUUAAAAAAAAAAAAAAGAUCACAUCAAAUUAAAAAAGUUUAGUCAAAAUUCAUCAAACCCAGAAAUAAUAAGGCAUUUAUAUUGGUCCCAGAUACAUCAAAAUGUAGAUUAGUCAUUUAGACAGAGAAGGUCAAACAAAUUCCCCAACACUAUAAUGUCUAUAACAAAACACACAAAAGAAGAACUUUACAUCAAACUAGAAAAAUAACUCAAAAUUCAUCAAACCCAGAAAUAAUAAGACAUCAUUUUAGAGAAUAUUAACAAGUAAGUUAUCUACACUAAUCUUACAAGAGAGAAAACAGAGUGAGGGGAAAAGCUGAAAACCUGAAAGCAUUAUCCUUUUUGCUGGUGUUACGUUGGGGCUCUUGUUUGAAGCUGGUUUCUGUGGAAUUGAAACAGGCAAGCAAAAUUUGUAAAACACAAGUUAAAUAAGGGGGAAAAAAUCAGAUUGUCGAUUUUGUGUUUGUAGAAGGCUUAAUACCUCUUUUGCCCCUUUACUACAGCUAGAUUAUCACUUUGGUACCUAUACUAACUUUUAUCAUUUUGGCCCUUGUAUUUUAUUUUUUGUUAUCAAUUUGGUCACUGCACUUUAAUUUUGUAAUCCCGUUAUCUCUACCUAAAUUUCCAUUGAAAAAUUAAACGAACCAAUCACACAUUACGAGGUGUCAAGAAAAAAUAAAAAAAUCAUUUUUUUAAAUAUAACGAAACUAAAGAAAAAUCAUUAAAAUUCAAAAAAAUCAUUAAAACUUAAAAAAUUAUAAAAACUAAAAGAAUCAUAAUCUGUAUUUCAAAAUUGUGUGCAAAAUUUUUAAAAUUUUCAUAAAUUUUAAAAAUUCGAAAAAGAAUACCAUAAAAUUCCUAUAAUUUUGAGUAAAAUUCUAAAAAAGUAAAAACCUUAAAUUCCAAAGAAAGGAAAUUUUAAAACUUAUAAUUUUUAAAAGUAUUUUUUUACAAUUUUUAAAUAUAGAUUAUAAUUUUUUUUAGUUUUAUAAUUUUCUAAGUUUUAGUAUUUUUUUGGAUUUUUUUUGAUGCUUUUUAUAUCUUUAAAAUUUUAAGAUUUUUUUUUUAUUUUUUUACAUGCCACAGGUUUAAUUUUUUUUAGGAGAUUUGUAGGGGCAAAUUACCAAUAAAAGCCCCUUUUUUUUAUAAAUUUAUCGAAAUGGGCCAGGUCAGAAAUUAUUUACCGGAAUGAGCCAGUUUUUACAAAACGCGUCCACGUCAGCGCGUUGUCAAGGGAAAAAGCAGGAAAACGCUUCCUCAAGGAAGCGCUUUGCCUACGUGGACAGAAAACGGUUCCUUGAGGGCGCUAUUUCUGUCCAUGUAGGCAAAGUGCUUCCUUGAGGAAGCGUUUUGCCCGUGUUUGAACAGUACCAACGGCUAUUUUUUUUACCGUUGGUAACCCUCCCAACGGUCCAAAAAAAAAACUAUAAAACCCCCCACCCCUUUUAUUUUUUUCACACUUAAAUCCUUUCAAUCUUCAAUCUUUCAAUAUUCUCUCAAAUUUCUCUCAAAUCUCUCAAAUUUCUCUUAAAUUCCUCUCAAAACUCUCGUUAAUUUUUUUCAAAAAAGCUCUAAUUUUAUUUUUUCUAAAUUUAUUUUUUAAAAUAAAAAAAAAUUGAUCGUGUUAGCAAUGGCUAGAGAAUUAAUUCGCUUCGAUGAUAAACACAUAUCCGUCGAACAAAUACAAAUGGUAAGUGUUAAAUUUAAUAUUUAAAUAUUAUUUAAGAUUUCUGUCAUUUAUGCAAAUUUAAAUAAUUUUUAUUUUAUUAUUUCUUAUAAAAGUCUGUAGAUCGGAUAUUGCAACGCUAUAUCCGUAACAUGACUGGUCUUCCAUCACCGUUGAUAGAGGAUUACCUACGGGAAGCGGGUUUUUGGCACGUGGCGAUGAUAGGCCGGGGUGCAAGUUGGACCCGAAACUUAUUAGUGCAUUGAUAGAAAGGUGGAGACCCGAGAUGCACACAUUUCAUCUUCCAUGUGGAGAGUGCACUAUCACUUUGGAAGACGUGCAUUUGCAAUUAGGAUUGCCGGCGGACGGGGACGUAGUCACUGGGUCCGUUCAUUCUGCUGAUUGGGGAGCGGUAUGCUACGAGCUUUUGGGUGUUAUUCCGGAUAAUAUUAACGGAGGUCGGAUCGAGAUGGGCUGGUUACGAGACACAUUUCCGGAGCCGGAUGAUGAUUCUACCGAACUAGAAAAAAUUCGAUAUGCUCGAGCAUACAUUCUUCAUAUAAUUAGAGGUUAUCUGAUGCCGGACUUGUCACGAAACCUUGUACAUCUGAGAUGGCUGCUGAAACUCGUUGAUUUUAGAGCAGGUGAUGAAUUUAGUUGGGGUCUAUCGUGUUGGCAACACUGUACCGAGAGAUGUGCGGGGCUACGCGACCGAAUAAAGCGAAAAUCGGAGGUUGCCUAUCACUACUGCAAUCAUGGGCAUAGUUUCGCUUUCCAUUUUUACAUCCUCGAAUGGACCACCCAUAUACAUUACCACUCAUAACGAAGUAAAUUUUAUAUUAGAUUUUACAAUUAUUAUGUAAAUUUAAAAUAUAAUCGUAUGCUAAAAAUUUAUUUAAUUAGGUGGAACCAUUCGGCAAGUUAUGCUCGAUUACCUACCUGUUUUGAAGAUAUACGGCUUCUAUUAGAGUAACGGUCGGAAGCACAAGUAAGUAUUAAAAAUAUAUAUAUACAUACAUAAUAAAAUAGUGGAUUCGUAUUUAGUAUUUAGUAUUUUUUAUUUAACUAAUAUUUCCAUCAUUUUUAUAUAGUUUCAAUGGACACCAUACGAGGAUCCGGCAAUUCGGGCAGUAAUUCCGGAUGAAUACUUGCAAAAUCCUAAUGCUUGGCACGUGAAGGUCCCAUUGGUCAACUUUGCUAUUGUGGAGAUGCACCAAUCAGACAGAGUAUUACGGCAAUUUGGAUUCCGACAACCGAUUCCUGUGGCACCUGAGGUGUUGGAUGAUCAUCACAAAAUCGACUUACUGCAAUUGCAUACGGAUUGGCCGAGAUUCUGGUCACACUAUAUCCAAAUAUGGGAAGAUCGGUAUGAUUAUAUACCUACUCGGGAACCGAUCAUCGUUCCAGAGUUGGCGUGCGUGCCGGAAUACAUGCCAUGGUUUAGGAUCCAUGGCAAGCCAUAUUUACUGUCAGAAGAGGAGAGGCAACGGCAAUUGCGUGUCCAAAGGGAACGACGUGGCCCUUUAAAUCCUAGAAGAAGGGAUGACGACGCAGGCCCAUCAACAGCGCCCACACAAUCACCCAGCCCAGCAACAGGACCUACACAGUCACUGGGCCCAACAGUUCAACCGUCAACACCCAUAGCACAGCUUCUUCAGAUGAUGCCAGGUACGUAUCCUAGCCCUUUUAUGUAUCCUAGCCCUUAUAUGUUUCCUUUUUCUAGUCCUAUGGCAGGUUAGAAUGCAUGGUCCGGUUCAUCUCCAUUUUCGAUUACUCCGAGUGGACCGCUGAUCUAUAGGCAGCCGUCGCACGAGGGAUCGCAAGAGGGGCCGUCAGGGAGCUUUUCUUUUUACCAAUCCCCAUUACCUUAUGGGUUUCAAACACCUCCGCCAUUAAUGAUGCAAACACCUCCACAGUCACUAUUCUAUCAAGGCGGGUCAUCCUCCCAACACCCACAACCAGAAUCCUCGCCGGAACAAGCACAACCCCCGCCGAAAGCUGGACAAAGGAGGAAUCCAACGCGUAACCGUCGACGACCUUCAUGUGGCACUGAAUCCGACCGGCACGGACAUUGAUUUUUAUUUUAAUAUAUUUGUACAAACAUUUUGAAUCUUUUUAUAUUAUUUCAUGUAAUUAGAUAAAAGGUUGUUUUAAAUAAAGUAAUUGUAAUUUACUUUUAUAUUUUUAAUAAAAUGGAAAUUAUUUUAAAUAAGGCAACAUUUUGAAUAUUUUUAUAUUAUUUCAUGUAAUUAGAUAAAAGGUUGUUUUAAAUAAAGUAAUUAUAAUUUACUUUUAUAUUUUUAAUAAAAUGGAAAUUAUUUUAAAUAAGGCAACAUUUUGAAUAUUUUUAUAUUAUUUCAUGUAAUUAGAUAAAAGAUUGUUCUAAAUAAAGUAAUUGUAAUCUACUUUUAUAUUUUUAAUAAAAUGGAAAUUAUUUUAAAUAAGACAACAUUUUGAAUAUUUUUAUAUUAUUUCAUGUAAUUAGAUAAAAGGUUGUUUUAAAUAAAGUAAUUGUAAUCUACUUUUAUAUUUUUAAUAAAAUAGAAAUUAUUUUAAAUAAGGCAACAUUUUGAAUAUUUUUAUAUUAUUUCAUGUAAUUAGAUAAAAGGUUGUUUUAAAUAAAGUAAUUGUAAUUUACUUUUAUAUUUUUAAUAAAAUGGAAAUUAUUUUAAAUAAGGCAACAUUUUGAAUAUUUUUAUAUUAUUUCAUGUAAUUAGAUAAAAGGUUGUUUUAAAUAAAGUAAUUGUAAUUUACUUUUAUAUUUUUAAUAAAAUAGAAAUUAUUUUAAAUAAGGCAACAUUUUGAAUAUUUUUAUAUUAUUUCAUGUGAUAAUAUAAAAUGUUGUUUUAAAUAAAGUAAUUAUAAUUUACUUUUAUAUUUUUAAUAAAAUGAAAAUUAUUUUAACUAAAGCAAUAUUUUGAAUAUUUUUAUAUUAUUUCAUGUAAUAAAAUAUAAAUAAUACAACAUAUUGACAAUUACAACAACUAUCAAUUAUUGCGAUUUGGACAUGAUCUACUUGUAUGGCAUGGGUUCCUACACCAUCCACAUAACUUCUGUUGAUUGGUUGUUUCUCGGAUAUCCAUAUUGUUGCGUAUUCUAGUCGAGCAAGGUCGACCCUUUGGUUUACGCCGCAACUCUCUAUCCAGUAACAGCUUAAACGGAGCAAGCGAUACAGAGGGCCACUUACGCUCAUCUGGGACCGAUGGGAAUAUGUGUCUCCAUACGUUGUACACGUAUUCCAAUUUGUACACGUCGUCGACAUAGCUCAUGGGAUCCAGACGAAGAUUUUGACAAGCUGCAAUUACAUGAGCGCAUGGAUAACGAAGUGCGUCAAACCUCCUACAAUCGCAAGUCCUAUUUCUUAAAUGUACACGAUAUUGCCCGCCAGUAAUACCUUGGUGCGGUUUGUCAAACUCUGUCACACGAAACCAUAAGUUGUCUCGAUCGUGACACACUGUGUGCAUAGUGUUCGUCCGUACCUUCGCCUUGUUAAUUUCUUGCAAUACCUUUGCGCACCAUACAUGGCCCCCUGCAUUUGGCCUGCAUAACUCGCUGUUCGUUUCAGAAAUAGUGCCGCUAAAUGAAAAUAUGUCUCUCGCACAACUGAUAUUAUCGGUAAAUGACGUGUUCCUUUCAGAACAGAAUUUAUACAUUCGGCCAGGUUUGAGGUCAUGUGACCAUAUCGUAAGCCGCCGUCGUAUGCUUGUGUCCACUGUUCGAAAGGUAUAUUACAUAGGUAGUCAUGACCCUCUUCGUUAACUGAAUGGAAACCUACCAACAUCUCAUGAAAAUGGUCCUUACUUAUCUCAUACCCUGCCAAUAUAAGUUGAUAACAAAAAUUACAUACCACUUUUCCAUUUAAAAUAAAUUCAAUAUUCCAAACGAAAUUAUAUUAAUAGAGAUAAAGUUAAAUACUCAUGUUGGCCACUUGUUGUCGUUCACCUUUAGAUGGAUAUUGCCUAUAGUAGUUGGAAGCAAUGUGCCUUAGGCAAUACCGAUGGUGUGUGCGAUGCCAUAAGCUUCCCUGUCACUCAAUUGCAGCUAGUAUCCCGGUGCCUCGAACCGAUAUAACGCAUAUAUCAGGUUGGGGGAAAACAUGCAUCCUUAACCUAGAAAGAAAGAAAUCUCAGUCAUCAGCUGACUCCCCCGAUGUUAUUGCAAAUGCAAUUGGAAGGAUUCUUCUACUACCAUCCUGUGCGACUGUUAGCAAUAGCCGAUGGGUAUAUCUACCGUAUAUAAAGGUACCGUCAUACAAUAUACAAAUGCGUCUCGGCAUUGCUUAAAGCUCUAGAAGAGAUGCUUAAAUACUUGGCAUCAGAGUAAUCAGUCGUUGUAGUAUGCAAGUUCUGUUUGAAGGUCUGUUAUGCAACCUAGGACGUAUCUCUCUAGCACUUGACACUACUGCCAUAUUUCAUUAUAUGAAGCGUCCCACCUACUAUGCAUCUUCUCCAAAGCCUUCUACUUAGCUAUCCAAGCCUUGCGAUAAGAGGGCGUAUACCCUAUUUGGUUACGAAUAUUGGCAAUUAAGACUGGCACUGAAGUCUUAGGAUCUACCUUCACCGUUGGUAGUAUUAAGCUAGCUAACAUAGCUGAAUCCAUUUUGGGAUGAUCUUGUGAAAUACCUGUCAACGAAGUACGUUAAAUAAUGUAACAUUACAUAAUAACAAUAUUAUUUAAAAACCUUAAAUACUGUACCUGCAGCACAUGUAUGUGGACCUUUAUACUUUUUUAUCUCCCACAACUCUGUCCUUUUCCUCAACGAGGCGUAGAUUUUCCAUGAACAACUUCCGUCUUGCACAGCACACUUCGCUUCAAACUUAUCGGAUUUAGAUUUAACCACGUGGUAGUUAACACCGUUAUUGAUGCUAUGUUGUUUCAAUGCACCAAGAAAACUAUUCUUAUUGGAAAACUCCUUACCAACUUCAAAUUCACUCUAAUCCAAUAACGAACUUGUAUGAUCACGCGUUCUGUGUGGUAGAUCUGGAAACUCCAAUGCAUCAUCUGCAGAUAGAUCAACAUUAUGCAUGUGGGCUGGAGGCGAGUAUGCCCUGAAUCGUGGAUCUUCUUCUUCAUCUGAACCCCCUUCAACAUCUUCAGGUUCAGUUGGAAUAGGCUCCGGUUCAAAAAAUAAUCCAACUUCUGUACCAUCGCGGCUGGGCUCUCGAGGUGGAUCCACAUCGGACUCAUCAUCUAACCCACCAUCAUCUGCGACGUAUGAGGUCCCCUUACCGGUGGAUGUCAUGGGGAGUACAUCAUCCCUUCUUCUGGGCGUUUCAUAACGUCCCCAAUUGGAUGUAGAUUGCCAAGCACUAGAAGUUGAUGUCGUUCCCCAGUACGUAUUUCCAACAUCAAACAUCGACCCACCUAGGUGCAUGUCCCAUCCACUAACAGAGUGUCGUGCAGGGGUUGUGUAUUCCAUACCGCUACCAAAAAUCGGCAGUUCCGUGUUAUGUAACCCACUAACGGAGUGUCGGGCAGCGGUCGUGUAUUUCUCUCGAACAGCAGCCGUAAAUAUAUCAUUUGGCGAUGCAAAUUGUACAUAUAACUCAAUAUAUAGUGCUCCACUAGCAAGAUGAGUCUGCACCAUUGCCUCCAAGCUACGAGCACCUUUGAUGUCGAAUGAGUCAUAUGUUACUGGAUCAAUAGAAGCACAAAAUCAAUACCUAAUAGACAACACUUUCAUUGGCGUCAUUCCGAAUAUUUUACGCCUAAUCCUUUUACGAAGUUCUGUCAAAUCUAUGUUCUGGUUAAAAACCAGUCGUAUUGUAUUAUCCGAAAAAAAAACAACACCGUUCUCGGUGUGACGAACCUCACCAUCAUAGUAACUAACAGCACUAAUGCGUUCACUCAUCUUUAAUUUUUAUCCUUCUUAGCCUCUCUAUUUUUUUUUUUUUUGCUGUAAGUUAUGCAAUCUGAGAACAAAAUUUGGCUCAUUUAUAGCCCAAGUUAUUUUAGAAACCACUAUAGCAAAAGAGCGUCCACGUGGGAGCUUCUUUCAGUACUUUUGCUGAAAAUGCAUCCUGCUUGAAGCGUUUUUGAUACUAUUUAUGCAGACACGUCUUCUCAAAAUUAUUUUUUUAGAGACCACUGUAGCAAAAGAGCAUCCACAUGGGAGCUUCUUCCAGUAAUUUUUCUGAAAAUGCAUCCUACUUGAAGCGUUUUUACCACUAUUUGCGCAGACACGUCUUCUUAAAAUUAUUUUUUCAGAGACUACUGUAGCAAAAGAGCGUCCACGUGGAAGCUUCUUUCAGUACUUUUGUUGACAAUGCAUCCUGCUUGAAGCAUUUUUUACACUAUUUGCACAAACACGUCUUCUCAAAAUUAUUUUUUCAAAUACUACUGUAGCAAAAGAGCGUCCACGUGGGAGCUUCUUUCAGUACUUUUGCUGACAAUGCAUCCUGCUUGAAGCGUUUUUGACACUAUUUGCGCAGACACGUCUUCUCAAAUUUAUUUUUUCAGAGACUACUGUAGUAAAAAAGCGUCCACGUAGAAGCUUUUUUAUAUUAACAAAUAAUUUAAUUAAGUUACCCUAAACCCCAAACCUUAAUUUAUUUGAUUUUUUUUCUUAAAUACCUUAAAACCCUAAACCCUAAAAUCCUAAUCUAAUUUUUUUAAAAUUUAUAAUUAAUUUACUCAAGUAACCCUAAACCCUAAUUUAUUUGAUUUUUUCCUUAAAACCAUAAUCACUAAACCAUAAUCUAAUUUUUUAAAAUUAGUAAUUAAUUUAAUUAACAAACACUAAACCCUAAUUUAUUUAAUUUUUUUUCCUUAAAACCCUAAAAUUUAAAAACCCAAAAUUCCCAAAACCCUAACCUUAAUUGCAGAAAACCCUAAUAAAAACACGGGGAAAAUGCUUCCUCAAGGAAGCGCUUUGCCUACGUGGACAGAAAGCGCGCCCUCAAGGAAGCGUUUUCUGUCCACGUAGGCAAAGCGCUUCCUUGAGGAAGCGUUUUCCUACUUUUUCCCCUGACAACGCGUUGACAUGGAAGCGUUUUGUAAAAACUGACCCAUUCCGAUAAAUAAUUUCUGACCUGGCCCAUUUCGGUAAAUUUAAAAAAAAAUGGACUUUUUUUUUGGUAAUUUGCCCGAUUUGUAGAGCAUCAGCUAUACAUAAUGAAAAGAUUAAACUAAUAAGAAAAUAGUAUAAAUACCAAAGUGAUCAUUUAACUAUAAUAUAGGGGCAAAAGAGAUAUUAAGCAUUUCUAGAAAUGCCAAGUUAAGGUAGACUUGCCCAUUGUUUGGGCCACCCGGCCUGUUCCGAAUGCCCGUCCGAAAGUGAGAAGAUUUUGGUAAAAAUAUAGACUUGAAAAAUACUCUUUUAGCUUGAGCUUGGCUUGGCCAAUCUGAAUUUAUAAAUAUAUAUAUUGUUGUUUUUUACUUUUCUUUUUUUUUUUACUUUUUUCAUUGUUUUGCUAUUAUUUCACUAUUAUAUUGUUACUAUUUUGUUGUUAUUGCUUGGAUAUUGUAUUACUCUUGUUUUAUUAUUAAUUUUACUACUAUUUUAAAGAUAUUUACUUGUUAACUUGUACUUAUUUAGUGUUAUUUAAGUAUAUAUUUUUUUUUAUUUUUUUCAUUUAUUGAAAAAUAUUUAUUUUAAUAUUUUUAGUGUAUUUGAUGUAUUAUAUUUUUUAACUUAUUUUUACAUAAAAAAUAAUAUAAAAUUUUUAAUACAAACAAGCUAGACCGAACUUGAGUUUUAACAUUUUUAUUUGAACGAGACUUGAUCAAAAUUUUAAACCUAUUUUUAAAACCAGACCUAUAAAUUGUGUCUAAAUUUUUUACUUCUCCCGCGUAGACAACUCUAUGCGAAGGUGACAACGUGAAAUAAUUUUCUUCCAUGUGGUACCAAUAUGGAAAAAAGAGAGUUAGACCCGUAAAGCUCAACUAUCUAAACAUUUAAAUGGUUCAUAACACUGUAGGCCAAAAGCAACCAAAAACCCCAAAUAUUUGAGUUUGGGUCCAAAACGAGAAUGUAGGGAUUAAAAUUAAUUGAAAUAUUUUAAUGAAAAAUAAAACAUUAAAAUUAGUAUAUUAGCAUAUAAGUAAAGUUAUAAUCCAAUAUCAAAGCAAUGAACGAUUUAAAAAGAAGUUCAAGCCCACAAAAACUUAAAGCAUUUAAUUUGAUCAACAGUUGAAAGGCAACCACAUAAAAUGAUAAGUAGCUAUUGAUGAACUACCUUGACAAAAGUCUUUUGACAACAAAGGUUUUAGAGCCAACAAAUUGCUUCAUAAGCAUAUCUACAUGACACGGCCAUGGGCAAUGGCCAAACAAUUGACUAAUUAACAGUCUCUAGGUAAUUCUUGGAGAAAUAUAAAAAUUAGGUACAAAUACCCAAGUAUAACCCUCUUUCUCACUCUCUACAGAUUUUAGUAUUCACUUAAAGUUAUCUUAUUUCCUUAAUCUUGUAAAAUUCUAUAGUAAUUUAAUUAUCACAGAGCAUUCUAAGAUAAAUAUUAGUAUCUUUCUAACUCACAUUUGUCUUAUAACAAUCUUAAGUCUCUAAACUUAAUUCAUAUACCUCGCAAGUCAUCUUUAAACUCAAUCCAUUACAAGUAAGAUGAUUGAAAAUUUAAUCUUAAUAAUUAAAUUUAAGGUAUAGCACACUAAAAUAAUAUCUUACUAAAAGAAUAUGCAACUAAAAAUAUUGCCUAGAAUUAGAAUCACAUUAAAAGCAUCUGCCUUCAUAUUGUUUUUAGGCCUUUUGCAUUGCAACAAAGGCACCUCAAAACCCACCAUUUAUUACCUUUUCACAUUGCCAACGAAUCUAUACAUCGACGCUUACACACUUCACCUUUUUGUCUUCUAUGCUGUCCUACAAAUUCUAGUGGGAGUCGAGGAAAUUUUGGAAAAAGUAAACUCUUCAAUAUUACACAAAACAUUAUAAAAGUUAUAAUAUGUGUAUAUGAUUAUAGAAAACACAUUACAAAAAUUGUAAUAGCUUAUGUGAUGGAUUAAUUGUUUUGUGUAGCUAAAGGCAAUAGAAAACUUAUAUUAUAAUAUUAUAUUUGCAGUUAUAAACUCUUAUAUGUAGAACAGUUCUGGUGCAUAACUUUGUAAGCUUGGGUGACACUGACAAGCAAGUCCCUGUUGAAGAUGGUUGAAAAGGUAGCUGAAAGUCGAGGACUGCUGAUCUCCUCGAGAAGUUGAAUGAAUGUUGGAGAAAAUAAGAGCAUCUACAUUUACAUUAAUUGGAUUAUUUCCCAUAGGGUUCAGAGGUUAAUGUUUACCGUAGUAGAUGGUUUUACUUGUUGAUUUGGUUUGAAAGGGUAAUCGUUGUUUUUUUUUUUUUUUGUUUCAUGUGAAUUGGUCAAGAAAACUGUAAUAUAGGGUUCGGUUUUAUUAAAUUUAGUUUGAUUCGUUUCUGUUACCAAACAAAAAAUUGUAAUCAAAUUCUUUAUUUUUAUUAUUUAAUUUACAAAUAUUUGUAUAAUAUAAAAAAUUAUUUUAUAUACAAAUUAGUGAAAAUAGUGUAAUAUAUAUAAUUUAUUUUUAAAAAAGAAUCCUUUAAUUAAAUCAAAUUAGAGAUAACUUUGUUUCCAUUUUCUUUAAGAGCAAUCAAAUUUUAUAUUAUAAUUAUAGAUCUUCAAUUUGAAUUUUCAAGAAAAUUUGGAAUAAGAGGCUUUUGAUUAAUUCGAGUAACAAGAAAGGAGUUUUGAAUUCUAAAAAGAGAUUUUAUGUGUAUGGAAGUGGAUGAACUCUUUAAAGGUACCCAAUACAACCCACCAUAAAUACCUUACAUACUUCAUAAUACAAAUAUGCGUUUUCCUAUUUUUACAACUGUAAUAUAUAUUAAAAAAUGCUUAAUGAAAUUCAAACUCAUUGAGGCCCUCAGUAUCAGAAAUUUAAUUUCCCCCGCCCCUUCUCUUUUCCCCAGAAAAUUUUCAUUUCCAGUUCUAUUUACAGAGUUUAAUUGUUGCUCCAUGUGAUAAAUGAGGCAAAUUUUAACAACAUGAAGAAAUCAACAACUCACCAUGCAGGCAGCCAUAGCAGAAAUUUAUAAAAGAAUCCAAAAACCACCAAACCCACCUCAAGAAAAACACCUGGAAUGGAGGAAAAAAAGAAGAAAAAUAAGCAUAAAAUUAGAUGCAGAAAAAUCCCUAGCACAAAGAAUUCAUGAAUAAGUAAAGAGGGUAUUUAAGAAGAUUGGAAAAACUUACCAAAAUAGUUUUCUCAAUCUUUGGAAAAGUCGAAACAAAAUAGCCCAGAAAAAAAAAGGACCUCUGUUGAUACAAAACUAUAUCGGGGCCGGCCUACAGCAUCUUCAGUGCCUGUUUCAAUUGUGCGAAAGCGGCAGGAUGCAUUCUAGCCAUAGCAGAAUUAAAUGACUCCCCAUGAAGGGCAGAACAUGUUUGAAGAUUUUCCCUCACCGAGUUUUCCAAUGACAAUUGGUUGAUAGGGUCUGAGAGCUUGAUCUGAAUGAUGGCAACACCGAUCCAUCAUAAAUACUUAGGUAAAUAGAUAUAUAAAAUUUGGUGAAUGAUUUGACUAAAGAAUAUUAACCUGUCUUCUCCUUAACUCCUUACUGGGAAGCGAGUCCUCACCAUGAAUCCUGCUAGAGCUCAUGGUAUCGCCACUGCAAUGUAUUAGCAAAAAUUGAGAAAGAAAUUGGUAAUGAAUCUCUAAUGUUGAAUCUCCACCCAACAAAAUUUUAUAUUAUGAUAACCUUGACACUUCCUCGGAUAAGUCAUCAGUCCCUCCCAAGAUUACACUGGUGCAGACACUGCAUAAAGUUUAUCACCAUUGCAAUAAUUAAAUGUUAUCCAAUGCUCAGCAGCAGAUAUACAUCAAAACCAAGAUUGAGCUUGUACCUUAGUAUCUGAUCAAGUUUGUCCAGAACCUGAGGCAGCCUUAAUGUCAAAAUUAUGGAAAGUGCUAGGCCAAAUGUUUUCUUCUGGUGUGAAGAUACAUUGUCUACCUGUAUAAACAUGCAAAGAUAAUGAUAAAAGCAAAAAUUAACCUGAUGAAGCCUGCCAGACCAACUCUAGUUACCCAAUUCAUAAUCCUAACCAAAGCAUAAAACCUCUAGAUAGUAAAGAAAAAGGAAAAAAAAAAUCAGUUUUUUUUUUUUUUAAUUUUUUAUUUCUUUGAUAAUUUUCGAGUUAAAACAUCAAUGCAAACAGCUGAGAACACUAACAAACCAACUACUAUUGUCUACUUAGUAGGAAUAUAUCUUCUGCUAACCUUGUCAAGCCAUAUGUCAACCAGGCAAAGAAGAAUAUUAUCUUCAAUAGCUACACCAGUCUGCUGCAGUAGUGAAGAAAGCGAAGAUUCUGAUAUUAGUUGUACAAGAUAGUUGGUAUUCAUCACCCAAAUCCUAGCUAGGAUAGCAGCUGAAGAUGCUUUAACUGCUGUCUUUGAAGGAUCCUUGUCGUCUCCUCCGCAUAGACAAAUAACAACCAAUUUCUGCCGACAUUUAACAAAGGGUAGCAAGAAUUAGAUGUCAUGAAAAUGCAUAUAUCACAGCAACUAUAACCGUGGACAAGAAUGAUAGAAAAUCUCGAUCGAUAAAGAACCAAGCUUACUUGUAAAGUACUGCUGAUUAAUGGAGGCACCUCCGUGGGAAAGCACUACAAAAUAGCAAAAAGAUGAGCAGUUACUAAAACUGAUUGAGUUUCUCGGGUCCAACACAAUUUUAAUGAUUUUAAACCUCCAUGGUCAUCAGUAAACAAAUCUAUCAUCCGAGCAAACAAUUUUACUGCUCUUUUAGCAAUUUAAGGAAUAACCACCCUAUUCAUGAACAACAGUGAACUUAAGGAUACAAAGCCCAGUGGUAAAUACUCAGUUCAUAUAUACAACCAUAUAUAAAAACUAAACCACCCUGGUUCUCAUGUUAUUGUUCCCUGGCAUAUGUUCUUGAUUACAGCUGAUAUGACUAGAUUUGAGUAAGACUCUUCUUUCCAGAACUCUUCACUAUAAUUACAUCAUAUAUGUCAAAUAAUGUGAAUUAAUGUUCUCUUAGAGCAAAACUGAUAAAGAAACAAGUAGCACUCUCUUUGAAACGUUGAACAUUCAAGAAUGCAUUUGCCAGUAAAAUGUCCAUUGUCUGUAAUAAUAGAGUUGAAAUAAAAGUAGGUGUUUAGCAUCAAAGGUUUCACAUUAUGGGAUGUCAUGGUUUGUAGGUAUGACAAAAAGCAGGACAGCCAGCACGUUAUAUUACCAAGAUAGUAUACAAUGACAACCUUGUAUAUGGAAACAAUGAGCUGCAAGCAUACAUACACAAUGGUAUGCUUGUGGUCAUGUCUGUAUUCAUUAUUAAAACUUUUUCAAUGGAUAUUAUGUGAGGAGAAAAUUCAAUAUACACAUACUGCUACUGGCUUCGUCGAAACUUGGCCUAUUUUUAUGUGAUGCCACUGUGCUGAAAAUCUACUAUAUAAUACCUGUAUUAGGAUGUCAAUGACAGGAAGAGUUGAAAGUAGCCCUCUAUCAUUGACAUUUCCAACAAUGAGAUCCAGAAGUCUAGCUACACUGGAAGCAUGCAUGCUAAGAAAUUCUCUUCCACCCAAAAUAAUGUAACCUUCAGUAAUAUCAACUGCAACCUGCAAGCAUAUUAAGAUCAAUAUAAGAUUGAGGGAGGGAGGGAGAUGGGUAGGUGUGCUGCAAACAAUGAUUUAUGACGCAGUAUAAAAACCUAAAGCACCAAAUGCAAUAGUAGACAAUCCAGGACCAUACAUACCUACACCUUUUUUAAAGGAGACAUUAAAUCCUACUUUUCUUGGGAAACAAUACAAAAAGGGAAAUGAAAGCUCUGACCUAACAAGGACAGAAAUUAUCCAAGAAGUCUAACCUGUAACUGGUCAAAGUUUCUUUCCAAUAUUUCCACAAGGCAUGGGAAAUAUGCUAAGAGUUGAGGCACCAUUGUAGGUGCAUGAGAAAUUGUAGCCUCCCAUAGCUGCAGCGAUGAGAACAUUUAGCACAAGAUGUUUACAGUAAAGACAGCCAAAUAAAUGAUCAAUGUUUCCGGGCAGUAGUCUCACCAGCAUGCUAUCCUCCAGAAGAUUGAGUUCAUCUGGGCCAUUUAUAUCAAUCCCCUUUUGAAGAAUGGGCAGGAGCAUUGCAUAGCAACUAGGUGAUUGGUACCCAAGUGCAACCACAAAGUUCCGCAAAGCAAUAAGAAGCUGUAUCUGUAAAAGGCUUUCACCAGAAGAUUCCUCCCAAACCUUUUCAUAUUGAGAGGUUCAAGCAAAUUAAAAGAAAAUAUAUUUUAAAAGAACAGCAGAUAAAUACAGUCUAUGGCAUGUCCGCAUGAGUAGCCAAGUCAAUUAACACCCAUACACUCAAAUUUGGCUCAGCAUUCCAAUUCUAAUCACUAAUAGUUAAGUUGAGCAAUUAAUCAUGCAUGGCAGCAAAAUUUGCACCAUGUUUCACAACAGCAAUUUCUGAAAUUAGUAAUUAUCUGAUUUGGUAAAAUGGUUCCCUGUUAAAAACCCUUUGUACUUAUACUGUCAUCAACUAAGCAUAAGAAACUGUCAGAGAAGAAACUAAAGCAGUGACAACAAUACCAUCUGGAAAAACUGCAUCAAGUUGUUAGCGUAUGGAAUGACUUCAUUGACAUGGCCCAGAAGAACGGAAAUCAAAUUUAAAACCUGGACCUGAAAUUUAGGUGAAAAGCAGCAACAUGUGAAGUUGAAUGUCAGGAAUAUACUAGGCAGCAUAUACAAGUGCAAGCACAAAUAGAAACACAAACAAAGACUCAGAUUUAAAUCUGGACAGACUCUCCCAAUACCAGAAUUUGCAUGUCACAUUUGAGAACCUAUAUUUCCUAAACAAAUCAUUACAAUAUGAUCUUAAUAGGGAACAGGCAAAGCACAUCAAUAUAAAAAGCUAAAGUUCACAUCUAUUCAACUUUUUCAUCAGAUAUCAUGCAUGCAUUAAAGAAAUUCCAAAGCUCUGAGUAUAGACUCCAGAAAUUUUCCACAAUCUGAUAAGAUACAUUAGUCUUUUUUCUAAAAACAAUAAAGGAAAAGAAAUGCCUAAGCAAGUAGUGGACAACAACAAACAACAGCAGAAUUACCUUCGAAUCAAACUCUUGAACUUCUUUAACCAAAUUAAAACAUGAAACCCAGCAAACAGGAAGUAGAUCAGAAAAUUCUUUCUCUGAAAAGCUUGCAUCUUCAACAUGUAAACACAAAGAUCUGCAGGCAGCCAGCUAAAACAACAUUCAACACAGUGAGUGAAGUACAAUAACCUUCAUAAAUAGAUUAUUAUUAAGAGGCAGAGAGAGCAGGGACACAUGAUGAAAAAGGAAAAGCAAACUUCUAGAACAUACCCUCACAGAUAGAUCUUUGUCCUGUAACAACCGUAUCAAGGCACAGUAUACAGGCCUCUUUGUGUCAUUCUUAAUCUGCAUGGAUGCAAACAUCACAAAAGAAUCAUUAUGAGUAAUUUCCUGCAGCAACCAAAGUAGAAAUUGAAGAGGAAUAACAAAUAAUGCACAGUAUAAUAUUGACAUUACGAGUUCCAGACUCAAAAUGCAUCAUUCUUCUACUAUGAAGACAUAAACCAGAUUAAGUUCAUGUAAAAUCACUUAUUCAAUGCACACCAAAUCAGUAGUGGCACUUAUCCAAACUCUGGCUUUGAUUUAUGUACUCUAUUUCUAGUGUUGCAGCAAAUGGAACAGGUUCAAGUGCGAAGGGUUUUAGAGUUAUGGUUUGCUCUGAAUCACUAGCUUGUUCUGUGAGGGGAACAGACUUCAGGGCUCAAUUAGAAAUCUACCACGUCAGAUAUUAAAAGGUUUAGCAACCAUCAUAUUGUGAGAGCUAAAGAUUCAAUGAUAAUUGUACAAGCUUCUGACCUGAAAACUAUUGGUCAUACGCUAUACUGAUGAAAGCCACAACAUGCUGCUGUGGCAUGCAUGCAUACAAACAUACAUACAGAUCAUAGAAAGAACGUUUGGACAAGAUAUAGAUAAGAUGUUUAGAAAUAUAAUUAUGUUACCUCAGAAACCCAUUGUCCCAAUAUUAGUGCAACUUUCCGGUGGAUGAUGCGCAUAGUUGGAUGAUCAUUAGAAAGUUCAAGGGAUAAAGCACCAUCAAACCUGCAAUCCAGGAUUGUUUGAGAAAAAGUACUUCCUACCGAAACUAAGAAGAUCAUACCAGUUUAUUUAUUCACAAUGCAAUAAAUACAAUUCUUUAAAAACUAAAAAACUGAACCAAGGGAUAAAUUUUAAGAAGGAAGCAACUAAAUGAUGUUUAUUGAGCCCCAAAAUAAAAACUAAAUAUUGUUUCCUACUUUUCUUGGAUUAUCAUUAUCUGGUAAAAAUAAUAAAAUACAAACAAUGCCCCAUCCCAAAAGAAGAUAAAAAAACAACCCCAAACAACCAAGGGUUAGAGCAAGUAUAUCCACAGCAAAAUUAUCAAGUGACUAGACACCAAAUAUAGCAUACUGGAGAAUGGGCAUACCAAUCUUUGAAGCUCAGGUAAUUUGAGAGCUCAUAAUAUACAUAAGCAGCUGCGCCGUAGGCAGCAUCUUUAAGAAGUAACCCUGGAGUAAUUUCAGUCACCGAAGUUGGGCAACCAUUCAUUGCCUCUUGAAGGAUAGACACCACAAUAGGAGCUAGGAGCUAAAUAUAACAAGCUGAUUAGAAUAAGCGUUCAUGCAUCUAUACGAAACAACGGCCAACCAAAAGACAACAGAAAGGAUAGUAACAUAAUAACAAACUAAAUGAUAUGUACUAAAUUACCACCUACUUGACUGUGAUUUUCAAACAACACAAUAUAUAAAGCCUCCGCACAAGGCCUCAGUUUCUCUGUCCACUGAACCAUAUCUUGCUCAUGGUGAAAAGCCUCAGAGUUCUCAUACCAUUCCUCUAAAUCACUUGAGUUCAGAACAAAAUACCUGUUAAUACAUUAAGCAGAACAGGUGUAAAAACAUGCAAACAAAAGGUAAUUAAAAAAUAUUAAUUUUAACCAUGGUUUUCUGAAUAGUUUUCUCUUUCCUCCCCACAAGUGUGGUUCAGAAGGGGGAUGGAAAAGGAAACAUCAUACUGUGCAACAGCCAAAAAAAACUGAUAAAGGUAAUUACCUCCUUAUUAAUACGUUGCAUAAAAGUACUAUCCGUUCCUUAGGCAGAAGGGAAGUCAAAACACCGGCAACAGCAUUAGAAUUGUUUUUCUUCAUCUGCUCUAGCGUAACAGAGUUCUCAUCCAUAACCCGUCCAGUAAGACUUGGUUUAUAUUCUUUACAUUCCAAUACACUUUUUACCAUUACCAUACACUUAAUCACAAAUUGUGCAAAUGAUAAUACAUCUGGCUCAGGAUCUGUAAUCUUAUUUAAACAGAAAUUGAGGACAGGUUGAAGAACACAUGUAUCACCAAAUGAAUAAGGAUGCCUUUGUUGUAUUGCAACUAAAACCUUCAUCAAUUUAGUACAUGCCUUCUUUAUAAAGUCCCAAAAUUUAGGAUGUCUGCUCUGAAAAGAUGUAUCUGUAACAUAAGGUAACACAUACAAAUAAAUUAAUCAUGCAAAAUCUUUUAACAACAAGUAUAUGAUAUAGCUUCAGCUUUAAAGCGUGGGACCAUAGGUUGCUUCUUUUUUUCCCCUAGCCAAUACAAAGAUCACAAUUUAUGAAUAAAGAAAGAUGGUUUUGAAUAGAAAAAAAAGAACAGAAAUUAAAAUACACCAAAGAACUUGAAGUAGUUUUAUAUGCAAAAAAAUUGCAUGCGUCACACCCUCAAAUCAUAAAAGGGCAAGGGUCUUGGAUAAAAGAAAGCAGGGGAGGCUUUAAAUAAUGAGUAUGUUACUUGUAAUGAUUGCUUCUUUUUUUUGGUUAAUUGAGAACUCUUUUGACAGGACAUGCUAAUUGCCAUUUUCUUAAGGAGAACUGUUAAAGAUCUAAUACAUAUAAAUCUGCUUUUUUUAUUUUUUUCUAUAUUUGGGGCCAAAAUUGACCGUCAAUAACAAGCUAUCUUACAGUAUGGAAGAAAUGAUUGAGCAGCAUUCAAAAGCACAGGAGACACCUCUUUGACUGGUCUUAUCUCCUGCAAAAUGAGGCAUUUAAAUGAUAUACUCUCAUUCCAAAUUGCCAGAGAAAAAAGGGGGGGGGAGGCGAAGGAAUGAAAUGGCAAUUGACUACAAAAUCUAAAUUUUCUAAGGAAAGAGAAAGAAGUAACGAGCACCUGAAUACAUUUUGCAUCACUUUGAAACCCUGAAAUCACUAACUGACAUAUUAUCUUUAGACAAAACAACCAUCUUUCACAUGUUAGAUAAAGGUCAUCAUGAUGCUGCUCCACAGCACUAGAACCAUAGCUCUGACUGAUUGUAGAAAAACCAUGCAAUAUUGUUUGUAUAUCACUUUGCCAAAGACGCCAGCAAAACUCAAAUAAAUGGGAGAAUAUCUGCCAAGAAAGUUUCCAAGUCAGAGUCUUCCAGUCUAUAGAACAGAACUAUAAUUUGAAAAUUAAGUAAUUUGAUCCUAAACUGGGUAGACGAUAAUAUCUGAGAGAAGACUGGAGCACAGAAAUGAAGUACUAAUAAGACAGAAUGUAGAAGCCACUAACUACAGUACAAAAUGCAUAUAUUCGCUAGCAUAAGAGUGCUUUUCAAAUCAAUGCUAGCCAAGCUUAUGCAAACAGACAGGGUAGCAUCUACCUUCAUUUAAAUAAGAGGGGGGCUCAAGAAAUUGGAAGACUACCACAUGACCUCGAUUUAGGGGGAACUUAUACAAAAGCAAGAUGUUUCAAUAACAGCAUACCUCAGCAAAAGUCCUUUGGUCUGCAGUAAGACGUUUUGUGGAUAAUUCCUUCAAAGUUCUGAAGAGAAUCAUAAAAAUCCUGUGCGAGGUAAGAACAUCGGCUGAUUGAAGCUGCUGUGCUAGAAAAGAGAACAGCUCUGGCCUAAAAUCAUAUACCAACAAAUCAAUAUACAUCAUUAGCUACAAAAGGGAAUCAUUUGAGAAAUCCAAUAAUGCAGGAAAAAAGAAAAACAUAUUCUAGCUCAAUUAAGCAGGAAAGCACAGUAAUGAAUACUAAUCAGUCUAACGACUGAAGAUAUAUACCAUUCCCGAGGAUAAUCAAAACGAGCAAUUUUGGAAAUGAGGACCGCCAGCAUUUGAGCAAUCUGUAUCAGGGAAAAAAAAAUGCAAAAGACAGAUAUUAAAGCUCGCAAACUCAAAAGAAAUUACAGGACACCAUGCCAAGAGGAAUAUAUACCAGAAGCAACCAGUAGACAACUUAAAUACAAUCAAAUUGCAACAAUCCUAAGUCCUAGCCUCCAUGUUAUAGUUAAAAAACAUUGUGCACAUAAAUUAUUUACCAAUAAAAAGAUGAACUUGGGAGAAAUACCUGAUUAUUUUCUUCUCUUAAGUGUGAUAACAAUUUUUGCUUUAAAUGUUGUUUCUCUUCGCUGCUUAUCCCCCUGAAUACAAAAUUUCAGGUCAUUAAGGAAACAUAUAUAUUUGAUUUUAAGAAAUAAAUAAAGGAAAAAUAGUUAAAACACUCUUUAUCAGCUUGUAGGGCUGGAUUUGCUACGAAAAGAAGGCAAAUGCAGUUUCGGAUGAGUUAAAAUGAAAAGUAAACCCUCAAAUUUGAAGUUCGUACUCAUAUAUGAAUCAAAUGCAUGAAAGACUAGCGUAUAUCUUACGAGGAAUCGCGUCUCUUUCUCCAAUACCGAUUAAUACUGUUCUUGAAAUAUACAGAGGCCAUCAAUCGAAUAUCUACUUGAGAUACUAAAUCUUUCGCUGUAAUCACUUCCUAAAAGAACCACAGAAGAAAAGUUUCCAGCUUAAAUGCACACGGAUUUCAAAUGCAUUUUACAGAAAAUGCAAAAUAAGGAAAGAUAAUUAAAUACCAUGAGGCAAGAGCAGAAACCAGGUCUGUUCUCGGAUUGAGAGAGCGCCGCUUCGGCCGGUUUGCGAACGGACUCGUCUUGGCUCAUUGAGUUGACUAGCAACGUGUAUAAGGCAGGCAAAUCAGCAGCCGAAAGCGCCAUCGGUAACUCUUAACAAUCUCCCUAACCCUCUCGUGUUAACUAUGAGAAACAAGCAGAGUCGAGUUAGCAAGUUGGAUCGGCGAAUCGUGAGAUUUACGAGAAAAGAUUCUGGCGCGGCGACUGAGGCUUGGACAUCCACAUGGAUGAUGGACGUUUUGAGGUUCUUAACGGUGUCGUUUUUCAGCUUUUCUAUUUGACGAUGGAAAUGCCUGGAAUGAUGUGGGGUCGAGGCAAAGAACAGAGUAUGUGAUUGAGACGGUGUUGGUCGUCUUUACGGCCUCUCCGGCAGAUAUAUUAAUAUAUCAAGCUUAAAUAAAAACAAAUGGUGAAUUCCUGGCUUUGGUCCCUUUACUAUGUUCGAAUUUAUGAUCUAGUUACCGUACUUUAAUUUGGCAUAAUUCCAUCCUACCACUUUUAUAAUAUCAUAAAUUAAUUUGAAUAGUUAACCAUGUUAAUUCAUUUAAAAUGAUCAUGUAUUUUUUUUCUUUAAAAAAAUUUCUUGUAAUCAAUGUUUCUAGAAUCAAACUAGUGGUUGAAUUUGUCAAGCUAUUGGUUUGUUGGUUCGAUCGGUUCGAUAAAAUUAUUAAAAAUUUAAAAAUAAAAACAAUAGUUUCAAAAACCAGCUCAAUUGAUUUUUUAGUUGAUUCAAUCGGUUUAUAUCGACUCUCGAUCCAAUCGUUUCAAUAUCAUUUUUCAGAUCGAUAGCCCGACCGGCCCAAUCCAAUUCAAACAUCAUUACUUCCAACUCAUCAGGUUGACAUGUAUUCUUGAUGUUGAAAUAAGUUUUUUUAAGAAAAAUUUAUAUCAAAAUUUUAAUUGAAAUAGUUAACGAUGUUAAUUUUUUGACUAAUUAAUAAAAUUAUAAAAAUUGAGGCCAAAUUUUACCAAAAUAAAGCGUAAGGACUAAAUCCAAAAGUUGAUCAUAAUAAAAGGAUCCAAAAUAGAAUUAUACCAAAAGUUCGGAAUUUCCAUAGGGUGUGAAAUAGUGUCAUCUACUAUGCAUCGCCUCAGGUCACAUGGUAACGACACAAUGAUGAUAAUAAAAAUACGGAACCAAAAUUGUAACAGUCCCCUUUCUGUUUUCUUGGUAAUAAAUAAAAGGAGUAGUGAAAUUAAAUUAAAAUAAUAUUUCAUAAAACUAUUUUUAAAACUAAAAAUGUUGGACUGUAAAAUAAGUGAUGAAAUUUGAAACAUUAAUACACAUUGGAAGCAAACUCCUAUGUUACUGAAGUGUAAGUGCUUGUCCAAUGCUGUAAGUAACUUCAACUUCCAGCAAUAAUUUUGUGUCUGAAAUUUAUGCCUCCUCCGGUUUAUGCUAUCAAAGGUAGGUGAAAGAGUGGAAUAGUUUAACCCAAAAGGGAGAAUAAAAGAUAAAUAAUCCAUAUUUUAUGUUUUGUGGGUCCAAAUGAUUACACAAAUGCCCCUAACCAUUUACUUUUUGAGUAAUCAAGUCCGGACUCAAUUGAAUGGACUUAAUUAUUUAAUUAGGUGCAUCUGUUUCUCUUUUGAGAUGGGGAUCUCCAUUUUGUUUGAUUAUAUAUUCAAACUUUCUCUAUAACAUAUUCAUUUGUUUAUUUGUAUUUUUUCUGUUCUUUUUUUCAAUAUUGUAUCUGUGAACGUAUCAUUUUUCUAAUGAGUCUGAUACCAUUUUGUUUAGGUGUAUCAUUUCAUAUUUAUCACUAUUUUUUAAAAACAUUAUAUAUAUAUAUGUACGGUUGAGAUUAAAUAAAUCUUAAAUAUAAAAUAUUCAUCAACUACAUAAAAUAUUCUUUAAUAAACUUUACAAAUACAAUUCAUCAUUAAACAAGCCAAAAAUAAAUAAGAAAAUUUUUAUUGCAUAAAUUAAAUAAUAAGAUCAUCCCAUAAAAUGCAUAUAAUAAUCCACAAUUCAAUAAAUCCAAAAUAAAUAAUAAAAAUUUAAAAUUAUUUUUUGUACUAGCCGAUACACCAUAUUCCAACUAGUAUGAGCGAAAUCAAUUAGUACACACUGAUAUGCCCAAUACUAACUAGAAUUUGCAUUGAAAUGGAAGCUAGAGUGUGUUGUUCCAAUUUACUACCAAAACGGAGCAUUGCGUCCAAUACAAACAGUAUCAGAACAGAAUUAACUACCUCUUACACACCUAUAACAACAUUUAGAUGUUAUAAAAAGAUAAUUGUUAUAAAACUAUUUUUCUUCAACUUAUAGAAAGUAAAACUACAUUUAAAUUAAAACUUGCAAUUAUAUUUAUAUUUUAUUAUAAAUUAAAUGAAACUAUUUAGACACUAGCAUAAUAAUUUUUUAAAAAACAUUUAAAUUUUUUUUUACAAUGUUUAGUAUAUUUUUAGUCAUAAUCCCUUUUGACCCGUAAAUUAAAAGAAAAAUACAUUUCAACGCACUGAAACACACGUCCUUGUGAUUGUUACAAAAGCAACAAUGCCAACUAAGUUAAGGCUCAUUCAACCUUUAAAGAAGUUUUUAAUGGUAACUCGUUUGGUAGAUUUCAUUCUCUUAGUACCAAAUAACACUUAUAUUGAUGAAGAAUUUGAUCUAUGUUUUGAGUAAGAGGAAACUCAAUGGCUUUAUCUUUAAGGCUACCUAAAAGCUAAAUAGUGAAAUUUUAAUUGAUAUAUUUAAUGUCACUUAUUAAAGAUUAUGUUUAUUUAAUAAAAUAUAUUUAAUAGGCUUAUUUCUAUGGAGUAGCUAUAACUUUACUUAAAUUUUGAGAUAAUAGGUUAAUUUAAUAAAUAUGUAUUUCAUAAUUAUGAUUGUUGUUGUUAUAAGUAAUUAAAAAGUUGCUAUAGAGGAUUAAAAUAAAAUAUUAAAAAAUAAUUCUAUUAAAAAUAUAGUUGCCAUAAUGAAAUGUUAUAGAAAGUGAUUGUUAUAAAGUGUGUUGAGUGUACAAUAUACAUUGUGUCCUCGAUAUGUUUCGUAAUAACUAUGUAUCAAAUCAUAAAGUUUACUCAAUCAUGUUACUCCAAUGAUGUGAGCGAAAGGAAUUAUUUUGAGCAAAAAUUUUUUUUUUAAAAUUUAUUCAACAAUGAUUAUUUUUGGAGUGAUAAAGAACUUGUAUUUAAAUCUUAUUAACACGGGUUCAAUCCAAAGGCGGAGCUAAGGGGCUGGCAGGGGCCCCAACCCCCUAAAAUGAAAAUUUUAAUUUUUAGCCCCUUCAUAAUUUAUAAAAUUUUAAAUUAGUAUAUGAUAAAAUUGCACUUUACCCCCAAAAUGAUAAAAAUUUAAUUCAAUCCUUUAAAAGUUAUAGAGACAUAAGCUAUUAAAAUUGUGAAAUUGCUUAUUUGCUAUCGUAGAAAUUUGCAACUUAAUUCUAUCCGCUUAAAAAAAAUUUCUAGCUUCAACCUCGGUUCAAUCCUUAGGUAUAGAUAAAAGUGUUAGGAUCUAAUGCCCUUAGUGUAGUGAUAUCAUCAAAUGCAUUUGUAAUUUUCUGAACAAAUUGGCUUAAUAAAAUUUCAUCAUUUGCAUUAAAUAUCUUUUGUACAAUGUCCUCAAUGAUUUUUCGGCACUCAAAGCAAAAUUUAAGCAAAUAUUAGCUCACUGAUUAUCUAGCGUUUAAAGUGGCAUGAUGUGGUUGGAUCAUAAUGCGAGAAGACGACUUAUAUUACUAGAUAAUCUAAAUGGUUCAUAGUCUAAUUGAAUUCAAGCAAGUCGAAAAGACUAUUGUGUCAUCUAUCAAGUCUAAAUGGGAGAUACCUUGUUUCAGGUAUUGGAGCGAAUGACUCCAAGAAAAUAAGACAUAAAUGCGGUUAACUGACAGAAUAUCAAAUAGGACCAAAGUAGAAAAACCCUAGAUCCAUUUAUGGAUUUAUUCACUUGUGACAUUCAUAGUGUGAUUUGUAUACUUUGAUGUAUUAAAAGUCUGGGUUCAAUUGGUAAUAGAGUUAAAAGCUACUAUAUUGAAUAUACACUUCUACAUGACAUAGCUUCACUUACAAUAGUGGAAUUCAUAUCCCAAUAAAAAGCAAAUGAUAUCUUCUCAUUGACAUUACAAGAUAAAUGGAAAAGUAACAUGACUAAAGGCCAUAUGUCUAGGAGAAAUGAUUUAAUUAUUAUGUGUUAAUAAUUAACUUUUUCAUGAAAGUAUUUGUAAUUGUUACUAUGAGAUAAAAUAACAUCACAUUUGGUGAGUAGAUUUCACCCAAAGAGAUUAAGAAUAUCCUAUGAGGGUAACGCACAUAUAACAAUGUCAUUGGACGAGCAUUUGAUAAGUAGUUUUCCUAAUGGUAUAUAAUAAUGGAGAAUUUGGUCACGGUACUUUAAUAAAAUGACUCCAAACCUAAAUAAUGUUAUAAUUAAUAGACAAAAAGUUAGAUUUUAAUUGCAAAUUAUUUGAGCUCUAAUUAUAUAUGUCUAAUUGGUUCCUUCGUUAGUGUAGUGCAACUUUGAACGGUUUGCAAUUGAAUCAAUACGAUGAAGGAAUGAAAACGAGUUAGAAAAAUAGAUCUCAUGUAUAGCUAUUCGUAGUGAAUGAGUUUUCUCGCCAUAUGAAAGAGAUGACAUAAAGAUUGAAUUAAUUUCUUUGAAUUAUUAAUUAAUUGAUUGUGAUUAAAUAAUUGAAGUUCAAAAUGAAAAUUAAAUUAAGUUCAAAAUGAAAAUUAAAUUAAGUCAUCAUAGUUUAGUGAACAAGCUAAUUAAAUUCAUUUACUUAUAUAUUCUAGUACAAUAAAGUCAUCAUGAUUUUAACAAAAUUAGAAUUAGAUUAAUAAAAUAAUUUGAUUAAAAAAUUAACUAAAUUUGUUUUAAUUAAUUAAAUAAAUAUAUUUUUGAGAAAUAGAAAACAAAAUUAUUAGGUUGGUAAGUUGUAUGACUUGACUUAAAGACUAGAUAAUAUAUAUAAUUAAUAUACAUUACAAUAGACAGACCUAGUGGCCUAUUUGAGUAGCAAGAGGCAGCAACCCUAAUUCCAAUAAGGGGAUGUCACCGCCUCAUGUAUUUCCAUUAGGGAAUAUACAUAUUUUCCUAUUAAAAUAAUGCCAUUUAUUUAGUGUUUAUUCAAUUGAGGCUCUUCUAAUUUUUUUUUUAAAUAAAGACUAUUGGCUAGGUAAAAGAUACAUCACUUAAGCAUCAAUAGUCUGUCAGAAUCUAGUGUGAUUUAUUUCCCAAACAAAUUAUAUAUUUUAAGAGAGUUCAUCUUUUGGUUUCUAGCCUUUGAGGUUUAUUAAUAUUCCCACCAAAUAUCAGUAAAGUUUUCAUUUUGUGUGAUCGUUCAUGAAAUUAGAGCCUAUAUUCUAAGCAAAUCAAAGUCUGAUUUAUUGGAAAAGAUCGUUUUGGUUAGGGUUUAUUGCUUGGUUUUAGAAAAUUUUAAAUUUUUUCUAUGCUAAAAAAUCAAUUUCUAAACUGAAAUUUUCCAACAAAAAGUAUCAUAGAGCCCCCUGAACUAGGAGUUGGAUUACAUUUUACCUCUUCUAUUCAAAAAAUAGGUAAAUUAGUCAUUGUAUAUUGGAUUAAAGAGCAAACUAGAAAUUUUGUUAGAAAUUUCAUCCAUUUUUGCUAUUAAAUGAUGACGUGACUGGCGAAGUAACCAAACAGUGACAUGUUUCUGUGUUAUGUGCACUUCAUGCUGAUGUGGAGAGACUCAUUCAAGUAAAACUAAUGGAUUUUUUAGCAGAAGAAAUGGAUAGAAUUUUUAAUAGAUUGUGAAAUUUAUGAAAUUUUUUACAUGAAGUAACUAAUUCAAGCAACCAAACUGUAACACCCCUAACCUAUCACUGUCAUUGGAUUAGGGUUACGGAGUAUUAUGACACAUAUAGAAUCAAAUGACAGUAUAUAACCAUUCAAUUAUUAAUUUAAAUAUCAAAUAUUCAAAACGAAUCAUCAUUCAUAGGAUAUAUAUGAAUACAGGCCUUAUAAUGAGCUUAUAGAACCUAAAAAUCAAUUUAAAAACAAUCAGGGACUAAUUUGAAAUAAAACAAAAAAUGUAAAAAAAAUUUGAAAACAGGGGUCACACUGCUAUAUGGCCAGGCCGUGUGGCUUAGGGACAUGGCAGUGUGGCCAAACCGUGUAUAGUUCGAAAAUAGAAUCACAUGGCCGUAUCGUUAGACCGUGUGCCAAACUGUAUGUGAUUCGAAAUAAGGUCACACGACCAUGUCUCCAAGCCGUGUAAUAACCUAAGACCGUGUAGGACAAACAUACACCAAAAUUAAAUAGGCUACACAACCGUGUGGUGCGACUGUGUGUGGCACAUGGCCCUGUGAUAGCCUAUGUUGUAACAACCCGUUUUUCACUGGUGCAGAAACAGUGGUUUCGGGGCCACCAAAUCUGACGAGUAGGUUCGUGAAUAUUAUUAUUUAAUAUUUAAGAGUCAAAUAUGGUUUUAAAAAGGUUUUUGAUUUGAUAAUUUAUGUUAUAUAAGCGAUUUAUUAAGUUCAAGUGGUAAGACUUUAAGGUCAAGUGGUUUUAGAAAAUGAGGUAUCGGGACCUCGUCUCCAUAAACCGAGCCGUAAAUAUUUUUAUAAAUAUUUAUAGAAAUUCAUUAAGGUGAUAUUGAAGUUUCGUUAAAAAUUUUGAGCGUUUCGAUAGUUAAUUAAGUGAAAACGACUAAAUCGUAAAAGUUAAAAAAGUUAAUCUCUAUUAAUUUAAAGGUGUUAAUUACUUAAAGAAUUAUAAUUGGAUGGCCUUAAUGAGUAAUUUAUCCAUACCUAAGAUAGUGGGACGGUGGAUGCUUUAAUUUCUUUUAAUUUUAUAAGUUUUAUAAGUUAUUAUAGUAUUAAAGUAAUGAAUAAAGGUUAAAUUAAUAAUAAAAAUAAGAAAACAUAAGUUUCUUUUUCAUUUUGGCGUGUUCAUCACCUAAAAACACCAUAGGAAAAGCUUCAAGCUUCUGUUCUUCUUUGGAUGAUGCUUUGGAUGAUGCUUGGUAAGCUAAUUUUCAUCCAUGUUUAAUAAUUUUUAUGUUUUUAAGAUCGUUGCAACUAGGUCUAGCUAGCUUGUACCUUCGCUUUUGAAAUUGUUAAAGAUUGUGAAUGUUUUCAUUGAUGAAUCUAGUGAUUUUUUUAUGUUGAAUGAUGAAAUUGAAAUAUUAGUUGCUAUUUAAAAAUAUUUUGUUAAGUAAUUUUGAUGAAUUUUUCGAUUAGGGAUUAAAUUGUUAAAAUAAUAAAAGUACAAGGAUUUGCGUGAAAUUUUUGCAAAAUGGGCUGAUAUGGAAGCUAUUAAUAUUUGGCUAGUGUGAAAUUUCAAUAAAAAUGGUUAAUUUGUAUGUUUUAGGCUCAGGGACUAAAUUAAAUAAAAGUAAAAUAUUAGGGGUAAUUUUGUAAAAAUGUCAAAAAUGAAUAAAUUGCAUAAAAUAUAUUGUUUUACUGUCCAAAUUAAUAGAUUGAAUAAAAUUAUUAAUUUAGAUCAAGAUUGAGUGGAAUGUCGAGGAGAAUGAAAAAUUACCAAAAUGCUCCAUAACUUGUCAUUUUUGCAAUUUAGUCAGGUAAGUUUGUAACUUGGUUAGUAUAAUUAAUUACUAUUUUGAUAAAUUAUUAUCUAUUUGUGUAUUUAUGUGAAUCAAAUUUGUCAACUUGAAAGGAAAUGAAUAAAACCAGGGUUGAAAGACAUUAUGGCAACACAACAUAAAAAUGUAGAAGACCAUAGUUGGACCAUGGCAAAGUUUACGUAAGACCAUAAUUGGGCUAUGGCAAUUUUUUAUACGCAAGAACAUGGUUGGACCAUGGAAAUAUUUACGUAAGACCAUAGCUGGGCUAUGGCAAUUUUUCAUACGUAAGACCAUGGUUGGAACAUGGAAGUGUAUAUAUAUAUAUGUAAGACCAUAGUUGGGCUAUGUCAUUCUAAUGAUAAGACCAUAACCGGGUUAUAGCACUAUAAGUGUAAGACCAUGGCAAGGUCGUGGUAGUGCACAUGUAAUACCAUAGUUGGACUAUGGCACAAUAUGAAAUGUGUAUCGGGGUUUCAAUUGUCUUUACAGUGUUCAUCGAAUACAAAAAGGGAAGGUUUCGACCAUUGAUUAAAGAAAAGGGAUGGUUUCGACCGUCGUUUAGCACACUUUAUGUAAGCAUCGGUAAGGGUUCCAAUUGAUUUCACUACGACAAUUAUUGAAAGGUAUGACGUAUUGAUGAUUAAAGUACGAACAUUCAUGUUCAUGAAAAGUAUGAUUUAAGUGAUGUUACGUUUAUGUACCAUAUGAUGAUAUUGUUAAGUUAUGUGUUUAAUCACUAGCUUGUGGCUAUGGUUAAUGUUAUGUGUUAUGCAGAUGAAAUGGUAAGUGUUCAAUAUGAACCAAGACAUGUAUGUAUGAAAGACUCUGAAAUGGUGAGCUAUAUGAAAAAUAUGUUAUGUUGAGAUGGAUGAUAAAUCCAAUUGAAUCAUGCUCAAGUAUAAUGGUUAUCCAUGUCAAAUUCAUAUGAGUCAUGUUUGAACGAAUUAACAUGUGUUUUUGAUGUGCUUAGGCUUAUGCCAAGUUUGUGGAUAUGAUUGAUGUUUACGAUUAUGCUUGUACUAUGCAUAUGAAACGGUAAGAAAAGGGAAUGAAACAGUAAGUACAUAAUUGGGAUGUGUUAUAAUGUUAUUAAAGGUUUAAUGUGAUCAAUAAUGUAAUUGUAUGUGAGCAAAUUGUUUACGCUAUGGAUGAAUCUACCUAUGUCAUGGAUAACUACACUGAAUUGGGAAUUAACAAUGUUGUUUAGGCUUAUGAUAAGCAUUAGGAACGGAAUGAAAAUUAAGUAAAUAAAAAUAUAUAUAAUCUUAUAAAAAGGUUGAUGAUUAUACAUUAUGUCUUAUGAAAUCCUACCAUGUUAUGAAUGAUCAAUGAAUAUGCGACAUUAAUGUACUUAUUCAUUUGUGAGUUGAUGAUUAUAGUUUGAUAAGUCUUGAGGCAUUGGUAUAGGUUUAUAUUUAACCUAUAAUGUUCAUUAUUGAAAUGAAAUGCUAUGUUUAAGUUUAUACGAACUUACUAAGCAUUCAUUGCUUACAUAGUUAUUUUCCUUUACUUUACAUAUUAUCAGAAGCUCGAUCAUGGUUGGAAGUUAGUUGGAGAUCCAUCACACUAUCCAUUGAUUUUAUCAAUAGAUUUUGAUGCUUUAGUCGUGGUUAUAAUGGCAUGUAUAGGUGGACUAUGUCUAAUGUUUAGUUGAUGAUAUUGGCAUGUAAUAUUACUAUGAAUUUGUGAAACUUAUGUUAUUUUGAUACAUUGAUGGUUGGGGUGCUUUUGGCACUCUGAUGCUUAACGAAUGGUGUUUAUAUAUCGAAUUGAUGCAUGGUUUUUAUGGCCAAAGUGGUAAGUGUUGCAAAAUGGUCAUUUAGGGCAUAAUUUGAUAUGGAAUUUAGUCAAGUAUAAUUGGUUGAAUUAUGACCCAUUUGGUAUGUUUGAAUGUGAAUUUGGCUUGUAGUCAAUUAUGGUAUAACUUGAUAUGAAAUUAAGCUAAAUAUAUAUAUGGAUGAGUUAUGGUCACAUAUAUAUUUUAGUUAGGUAUAUUUGUAUUUGAGAUACAUGUAAAUAAUGAUUCAAAUGAUAAGUUUUAGCAUGUAUGCAUGUAACUUUUAGCAUGUAUGCACGUAACUUUUAGCAUAUUAAACUAAGGUAAGGUUAUAAGCAUGUGUGCAUGUAAUGAUACGCCUUGUGCAAUUAUAGAGUUUGCUUAAUUUGAAUGCUUGAAAUGGUUUGUAUUUGGAUAUAAGUUUUAAGUACAGGUCAUUGGUGUGAUUUUGGGUGAGAAAUGAAGCUAGAAAUGACUUUAUUUUGUCCACACAGGCAGACACACGGACGUGUGUCUAAACCGUGUGUGACACACGGCCAGGUACAUGGGUUUCACAUUAAUGACCCAUUUUCCAUGCUUUGAUAACUUUUCAAAUUGAUCCCCCAAAUAGAUAGAUUACGCUCUCGCGGUUUCAAAAGUACCAAAAUUACUAAAAACGGGACAAGAAAACUUACCCAAUUAAGCCAUGAAAGUUUCUUCUCUUUCCCUUAGGGUUUCUACGUACUUUAGGUUGAAAAUGACAUAAAAAUAAGGUGAUAUCUUUUAUCAUCUUUUUAAUUAAUUUAAUUAUUUCUAAUUUCCAAUUUAGUCCUUGCCUUUUUUAUAAUUUUCCAUGGAUGAGUACCAAAAUAUCUACAUAUUUUUCUUUAAUGGUCUAAUUACCAUAUAAGGACCUAAAGUUUUGAAUUCCAUAGUUAUUUAACCCUUUUAACUACUAGAAUUCAACUUUUGCAAUGGAUUUGGUCCUGCCUGUUAUUAAGCACAUAAUUAGUAAAAUUUUCUUAUCAGAAUUUUCACAUGACAUUUCUAACAUAUUACGGACCAUGUAAUAAAAAAAAAAUUAUUUCCAAAUCGGAUUUGUGGUCCCCGAAACCACUGUUCCGAUUUCACUGAAAAAUGGGCUAUUACAAAUCUCCCCUUUAAAAAUUUUUGUCCUCGAAAAUCUUACCAGUAAAAAUAUUCGAGUAUUGCUUCCUUAUAGUAUCCUCCGAUUUCCAGGUAGCCUUUUCUAUACCGUGUCGUUGCCAAAAAACUUUUAUCAAAGCUACCUUUUUAUUUCUUAACUCUUUUGUUUCCCGAGUUAAGAUUUUGAUUGAUUCUUCACUAUAUGUCAUGUUAGGCUGAAUCUCUACCUCCAUCAGAGAAAUAACAUAUGAAGGAUCGGAUCAAUACCACCAUAGCAUAGACACAUGGAAUACAUUAUGAAUCCAAUAUAGUUCUGGUGGUAAAGCUAAUCGAUGUGCAACCGGUCCAAUUCUUUCUGUAAUCUCAUAUGUUCCAAUAAACCGUUGACUCAGUUUUCCUUUACAACCAAAUCGAAGAACUUUCUUCCAAGGCGAUACUUUCAAAAAUACCUUGUCACCGACCUAAAAUUCUAUUUCUUUUCGUUUAAGAUUAGCAUAGGACUUUUGACGAUCAGAGGCUGCUUUCAAACUGUCCCGAAUUACUUUCACUUUUUCCUCAGUUUCACAGACUAGGUCAACUCCGUGUACUUUUCUCACUGAGUUCUAUUCAAUACAAUAGAGUUCUACAUUUGCGACCAUACAAGGCUUUGUACAGUGCCAUUUUGAUACUGGACUGAUAACUGUUAUUAUAAGCAAAUUCAACUAAAGGCAAAUAUUUUUCCCAAUUACCUUCAAACUCAAGCAUACAACACCGAAGCAUAUCUUCCAAAAUCUGUAUUACCCAUUCAGACUGACCAUCUGUUUGGGGAUGAAAUGUAGUGCUAAAAUGUAACUGAAUACUCAGAGCUUCUUACAAUUUCCUCCAAAAUCGAGUUGUAAACCGAGGGUCUCUAUUUGAAAUAAUGGAGACAGACACUCCAUGCAGUCUAACAAUCUCAGAAACAUAUAAUUCAGCCAAUCUAUCUAAGGAAAAGUCCAUACGUACCGAAAUAAAGUGUGCUGACUUUGUCAACCAAUCGACAAUUACCCAAAUGCCAUUUUUCUUCUUUGUAGACAAGGGUAAACCUGAUACAAAGUCCAUAAUAAUUCUUUCCCAUUUCUAUUCCAGUAUCAUAACCGACUGUAAUAGUCCAGUAGGCAACUGAUGUUCAGCUUUUACUUGCUGACAUAUCAAACAUUUGGUUACAAACUCAAAAAUAUCUCGUUUCGUUCCCGGCCACCAGUACAUCUUUAUCAGAUCAUUGUACAUUUUAUUACUACCAGGGUGAAUAGACAUGUUGCCAUUAUGAGCUUUAUUCAGAAUCUUUUGUACUAGUUUUGAACUUUUUGGUACACAUACUUAGCCUCUGAAUAACAAACAACCAUCAGUCCUAAUCUGAAAUUCUGAGUCAAGAGUCGAUUCACUUUAUAUCCGUUUUGCUUGCAACUUACUAUCAUUUUUCUGAACUUCAAAAAUCUGCUAUGAUUGAACCAUCAUUGGUCUAGCUUUUAACUCAGCUAUGAUUGAACCAUCAUUAGAUAAUGACAAUCGGGUAUUCAUUAGUCGUAAGGUAUAUAGGGAUUUUCUGCUUAAAGCAUCUGCCACUACAUUGUCUUUUCUCAGAUGAUAGUCAAAAACAAGAUUAUAAUCUUUUAGUAAUUCAAGCCACCUGUGCUGUCUCAAAUUCAAAUCUUUCUGUAAUAUCAAAUAUUUCAAAAUUUUAUGAUCAGUGAAUAUAUGACAUUUUUCACCAAAUAAAUAAUGCUCCCAGAUUUUCAAUGCAAUCACUAUGGCUGCCAAUUCAAGGUCAUGUGUCGAGUAGUUUCUUUCAUAUGGUUUUAGCUGUCUUAAAUCAUAGGCUACUACUUUAUCUUCUCACAUCAAAAUAUAGCCUAAACCAUUUAAUGAAGCAUCACUAUAAAUUGUAAAUUCCUUACCCGAUUCAGGUUGAACUAACACUGGUGCCUCUAUCAAUAAAGCCUUUAAUCUGUCAAAACUCUGUUGGCAUUUAUCAGUCCACUCAAACUUUAUAUCUUUUUGUAGUAAACCGGUCAUCGGAGAAGCUAUCAUUGAAAACCUUUUUGCAAACCUCUGAUGAUAACCAGCUAGUCCCAAAAACUUUAGACUUCAGACACAUUCUUCGGUGGCUUCCAAUUUACAAUGGCUAAAAUUUUAUUCGGGUCUACCCUGACACCUUCAGCAGAUAUUAUAUGCCCAAGAAAACUAACUUCCCGUGGUCAAAAUUCACAUUUACUUAAUUUGGUAUACAAUUGUUUCUCUCACAGAGUUUGCAACACAUUUCUCAAAUACUCAGCAUGUUCAUUUUCAUCUCGAGAGUAAACCAAAAUAUCAUCUAUAAAUACCACCACAAACCUGUCUAAAUAUGUGCUAAAGUUUCUGUUCAUCAGAUCCAUAAACACGGAAGAUGCAUUUUUCAAACCGAAUGGCAUCAUAAGAAACUCACAGUGUCCAUACCUAGUUCUAAAAGUUGUCUUAGGUACAUCUGAAUCUUUUACCCAUAGUUGAUAGUAACUAGAACGGAGAUCAAUCUUUGAAAAUACAGUGGCACAUUUUAACUGGUCAAACAAGUCAUCAAUACAAGGCAAUGGAUACUGGUUCUUUAUUGUAGCUUUGUUGAGCUGACUGUAAUCAAUGCAUAAACUCAACAAUCUAUCUUUCUUCUUUACAAACAGAACCGACACACCCAAAGGUAAGAAGCUAGGUCGAGCAAAACCUCUGUUAAUCAAUUCUUGCAACUGUGCUUUCAACUUUUUUAGUUCAGUAGAAGCCAUCUUGUAAGGUGCUAUGGAUAUAGGUGUUGUGCCCGAAACAAGAUCUAUAGAGAAUUCCACUUCUAUAUCCGGUGGUAAACCAGGUAAUUCUCUUGGGAAUACAUCAGGAAAUUCGCAUAUAACCGGCACUAACUGAAUCAUCGAUUCAGAUACUUUAGAAUCCAACACAUAUGCAAGAUAAGCAUCAUAACCCUUUCUGACAUAUUGUCAUGAUGAUAUUGCUGAAAUCACAUUAGGAAAUCCUUCUAGUUUAUCAGAUUCAACGGGGAGUAGUUCACGACCCUCACAUUUCAAUACAAUAUAUUUCUAUUUACAAUUCACCAUUGCAUCAUAUUGGGUUAACCAAUCCAUUCCCAAAAUUAUAUCAAAUUCAUCGAAUGGAAAUAACAUCAAGUCAGCCAAAAAAUAAUAACCUUUUACCAUCAACGGACAGUUUUUACAGACUUUAUUCACCAUAGCACAUUAGCUCAGGGGGUUUGAAACUUUAACCACAAAUUCAGUGAAUUCAAAAGGUAAAUUUUAACAGACACCAAGUUUAUGCAUAUGUAUGAGUGUGUGGAACCAGGAUUAAUCAAAGUAGUAAUUUCAGUAUCAAGUAGAGAAAAAGUACCAGUAAUGACGUAUGGUGCAGAGGCAUCUUCUCUAGCACGAAUAGCAUAUGUUCUAGCAGGUGCUCGCGCAUCAGAUCUAACUACUGUAUCCCUGGUAGUACCUCGACUACCACUAACAUUGCCGGGGUAACGGGGUGGUCUGCCCCUCGAGACAGGAAUACUAGGUUUUGGAGCUGGUUUUGUUUCUUUUUAAACUUUUUCUGGACAAUUUCUGAGAAAAUGAUCAAGUGAACCACAUCCAUAACAAGCUCCACUUCUAGACCGAUAUUUCCCAUGAUGAAAUUUGUUACAAUGUUUACAUUUCGGUUUGAGAUUGCCAACACUACCCACACUGGUCACAAAUGGAGAUGAAGACCUCGGGUUAGAACAUUGAGAGCCUCGCUCUCUUCUAGGAUAUCCCGUAGAGGUGGUAACGUAAUCAUAAUACUUAUUUAAUUUCUUAGAAGCAAAUAAUUGCAACUUACUCAUAGUUCUUUUUCCAAAAACCCGAGCUUCUCUUUCAUUCUGUUACUUCUCUUUACUCAAUUCUUCAGCUUUGUGUGCUCGUUCGGCCAGUACCACAAAUUCUCUUAUUUCGAGAAUUCCAAUCAAUAAUUUGAUAUCUUCAUUUAAACCCUGUUCAAAGCGUUUACACAUCUCGGCCUCAGACUGGACCCAUUCUCUAGCGUAUUUACUCAAUCGAACAAAUUCUCACUCAUACUCGGAUACAGUAAUAUUUCCCUGCUUGAGUUCUAAAAAUUCUUUCUUUUUCUGAUCUAUGAAUCUCUGACUAACAUAUUUCUUUCUGAAUUCAGACUGAAAAAAUUCUCAUGUAACAUUCUCCCUCGGUACUACUAAACUUAUGGUAUUCCACCAAUGAUAAGCUGUGUCUUUCAGCAGAGAUACUGCACAUUUUAGACAUUCGGUAGGUGUACAAGAUAAUUCAUCAUAAACCCGAAUGGUAUUUUCCAACCAAAAUUCAACCCUUUCCAAAUCAUCAUCUGCGGUAGCUCUAAAUUCUUCUGCCCCAUAUUUAUGAAUUUUAUCUACUGAUGGCUUACCAGUUCUAGCUGGUUCAGCACCUUGUGGUACCUCAGGAACCGGUUGAGGAACAGGUGGGGGAGGUCGUUGUACAGUAGGGUUUGUUCUUCAGUACUGUGUAAACCAUUCAUUCAUCAUUUGAAAGAAGGCUUAUUUUUCCCCCUCACUUUGGCCCUCAGAUACGGGUCUUUCACUACUAGAUGCAGAUAUGACUCUUUGAACUGAAGCUGAAGCAUUGCUCUCAACUUCCUCGGAUUCAGCUCUAACUCGGUUGUAUGACAUUACUAUAUGAAAAACACAUUUAAAAUGAUCAGGAGACAUCACACGAUCACCAUUUAUAUAAUGGCAUGUAUAGCUAAACUUGUGUUUGCUACGUUAAAUCCAAGAAUCGACUAAACCGUAGCUCUGAUACCACUAAAUGUAAUAUUGUUAACCCAUAUCUGUUCCGAAACAGGGUUGCGGAGCAUUACUGAAACUUUCAGAACAUUUACAAAUAAUUUAUGUAAAUUACGAUUCAUUAACUGAGAUCAUUAAUAUCGUCCCUUAAAUGGACCCUCGAGGCCCAAUACAAGCACUAGAAUCGAGUAGGGACUUAAUUGGAAACUCUAAGAAUUUUUCACAAAAUUACAAAAAUUUUCCUAGUUGCAGGGCUCACAUGCCUGUGUGGUCCGAGGGACACGCCCAUGUGACCAUAGGACACGCCCGUGCUACAGGCCGUGUUCAACCCCAUGUAACUCUCUGACUUGUGCGCACGGCCAUGCCACACGCCCGUGUGCUAGGCCAUGUGGUUAAUUAAAUUCUUUCAAAAUUAGGUGCAGGUUUCACACGACCAAAACACACGCCCGUGUUCCAGGCCGUGUGGCACAUACGACUGAGACACACCCCCGUGUUCCAAGCUAUGUGGCACACACGAAUGAGACACAUGCCCGUGUCUCUGCCCAUGUGCUUAAUUCUAUGCGUUCUGUUUCUCAAAAUUUAGGUGUAAGAGAUACAUGGCCUAACUACACGCCCAUGUACCUGGCCGUGUGGACAAAAUAAAGCCAUUUCUAGCUUUAUUUCUCACCCAAAAUCAAAUCAAUGACCUGCACUUAAAACUUAUAUCCAAAUACCAACCAUUUCAAGCAUUCAAAUUAAGCAAACUCUAUCAUUCCACAAGGCAUAUCAUUACAUGCAUACAUGCUUAUAAUCUUACCUUAGUUUAAUCCAUAUGUUAGACAUAAUUUGAUUAACUACUAACAUAUAUGUAGUUACCAUAAUAUAACAUUAUAAGUAUAUCAAACAACCAUUACUGUAAUAACCCGAAUUUUGCGGUUAUCGGAAAAGUGUAUUUUCGAGCCUUCGUUACUAAAAAAAAAAAGAUCCGUAAAUAUUUAUUAAAAAUAUUUAAAAAGUUCAAAGUGGUUAAUUAGAGUUUAAUUAAGUGAAUUUAGCUUAAUUAAGGAUAAUUAGGUAAAAGGAUUAAAUUGAAUAAAGUGUGAAAGUUUAAUUAUAGAUUAAAAGAAAAUAAAAAGGACCAAAAUGGCAAUUAUGCCAUUUUAUCAUAAGUGAGGCAGCAUAUAAAAUAAAAAUCUAAGAUUUUUACUUAGAUUUUAAUUAAUAUAUAUUAGUAAUAAAUGAUAUUAAAUUAAUUUAUUAUAAUUAUAUUAUAAGAUAUUUAUAUGAUAAACAAAUUAAUAUAAAGACAAAUGUAUAGUAAAUAAAAUAUACAAGUGUAUGGAUAAAAGUACAUAUACUUGUAAUACAUGUAUUAGAUAUUAAAUAGAUAUUUAUUAAUUAAAUAAUUAUAUUAUAAGAUUUUAUAUGAUAAAUUUAUUAAAUAAUGAAAAAUGUAUGGUUAUAAAGGGAUACAAAUGUACUAAUAAUAUACACAUGAAUAAAUAAAUAAUACUUAUUAUUCAAGUAUAAAUACAUGUGUGUAUAUAUAAAAAAGGGAAAAUAAAAAGGAAAAAAGAAAAAAAGGAGAGAAAUAAAGAAACAAAGCAAACGAAACAGAAAGCAGGGGAAGGAAAGAAAGAAAAAGAGAAAAGAAAGAAAAAAAAGGGAAAAUCAAAGAUGUGAAGCUUGGAAGUUUAAUAGGUAAGUCAAUUGAGCCCUUUUUACUUAAUUUUGAUAUUUUAGAAGUCAAUUGAGCCCUUUUUACUUAAUUUUGAUAUUUUAGAAACUUUGGACAAGAUUUUGAUGAAAUUAAAUUGAUAUUUUGAAAAGAUAUUAGAUUUUUAGAUACUGUUCAUGUUGAGUAAAAUGAUGAAAUAAGGGUUAAAUUGAUAGAAAUUCAAGUUAGAAAUGAAAUAAUGAUUGAAUUGUAAAGUAAUUCAUAAGUUUUAUGUUGAAGGGCUAAUUUGAUGAAAUUUUGAAACUAGUUAAAUAAGCUGAAAAUUUAGGAGUUAAAUUUGAGUUGGGAUGGAACUUGAAUAGAAAUAGAGUAUGAAUUAAGUUAGUAAAAUUAAUGGAAAUUGAUUUUAGGACAUAAUUGUGAAAAUGUUGGAAUUAAAGUCUAGUGCUAAAAUUAUGAUUUCCAAAAGUUGUAAAGUAGUUUAAAGUGAUAGAAUAAAGUGUUAAUUGAGAAAAAUCAGCUCAAUUGAGAGGCUAAUUGAGUAGGGACGAAAUUGUUAUUUAUUAAAGCUUAAGGGAAAAAUGGUAAUAAACAACUUGCACUAAAACAAUAUUGGACAGCAGCAGUAGACUAACUUUGAAAAAUCACCAUAAAUUGUAGAAAUCGAAUUAGAAGAUUAAAAAAAUAUGAAAUUAAAUCUUAUUGAGUCUAGUUUCUCAUAGAAGAAACGGUGUAAGCAAUAUAUUUGUAAAUCAGGAGAUAUUAUAAAUUUUGUGAGACAACAUCAGAAUGAUUUUGGGGUUCCCCUGUUCUGAUUUUGAAAAAUCAUAAAAAAUUAGAUAAUCAUCAUUAUGGGCUUAAAUUUAUAUUUUUAGAAUCUUUAAUAAGUCUAGUUUCAAUAUAAAUAAACGGGAACAUCAUUCGAAUUCUGUACGAGAAGAUAAUUAAUUUUUAGUGAAGAAGGGUCACAACUGUCAGACAGCAUAAUAGGGGUAACUUUAAAGAAUAAAAUGUACUUAUUUACUAAACCAAAAAUUUUGAAAAUUUUAUGGUAAUAAUAUAUAUGAGUCUAGUUUCAGGUAAAAUUAUCAGAUAUUAAUUUAGAGUUCUAGAGCUCCAGAUAUAAAUAAUUUAGUGACUAUGACACAGAUGGACAACUUGAAUAUUCAUAAAAGUAAAUAAUAAAAAUUAUAGAUGAUGUUACUUACAUGUGUGUUAUAUACAUUAAGGAUGUGGAAUGGAGAGGAGGAGGAGGAAAAAUAUAUAUGAAUAUCCAGCUUGCAUGGCUAAUUUGCAUGUUUUAGGCUUAAGGACUAAAUUGAAUAAAAGUAAAACUUCAGGGGCAAUUUUGUAAAAAUGUCAAAAUGAUCAAAUUGAAGGGAAUGAAUUGUUUUAUUAUCUAAAUUAAUAAAUUGAAUGAAAUUGUCAAUUUAAUAUCGGGUGAAAAUUGAGAAAAAUGGUAAAUUACCAAAAUGCCCUAAAUCUUGAUAUUUCUACAAUUUCGCUAGGUAAUUUUAUGUAACUUGAAUUAUAUUCUUUAAUGCUUGAAAUAUAUGUUAUUGAUGUGAAUAUGAUUUGAAUGUUCAUUCUAUAAAAAUUGAUGAAACAUUGAUAUAUUUGAUAAAAUGGGAAGAAAUCCCGAUUGAAUGAAAGAAAAUUUCGAUGGAUCUUUGAAAAGGAAUUGGCGGUAAAAAGGAUCUAGCCCGGACGGGUGAUCCUAUCCUGAUAUAGCCCUCCCGAAGAAUAUGUGGAAAAUGGAUUUAGCCCGGACGUGUAAUCCGAAUUAGGGUUUGAAUUUAGCCUGGACUGGUAAUUCAGAUCCAAGCUCAUUAGAGUAAUUGUCGUUGUAGGGGAUUUAGCCUGGACUGGUAAUCCCGACAAUACUCUAUGAGUUUAUAUUACAGGGGAUUUAGCCUGGACUGGUAAUCCCAAUGUAAGGAUGAGGUUCGCGGGAGUGUGCUCUCUGAUAUGAAAUGUGUAAGAUCAUGGUUGAAAGAUACCAUGGCAACCUGAUAUGAAAUGUGUAAGACCAUGGUUGAAAGAUACCAUGGCAGCCUGAUAUGAAAUGUGUAAGACCAUGGUUGAAAGAUACCAUGGCAGCGUGACAUGAAAUGAAUAAGACCAUGGUUGAAAGAUACAAUGGUAACAUGACAGAAAAUGAGUAAGACCAUAGUUGAAAGACACUAUGGCAUCAUGUCAAAGAUAAAUAAGACCGUGGAAGAGAGACGCCAAGAUAUCUGUUGAACAACUAAUAUUCAGGUAAUAUGUACCAGAUGACAAAUAGUUAUAUGAAUUGGUUGUACAAAAUGGUUGUGUGAAAUGUUUACAGGAAUUGGUCAUAUGGAAAUAUAUGUACAAAAUAGUUGUAUGAAAUAAUUAAGAAGAUAGAUAAAUGAAAUAAGUAUAGAUACAUGGAAUUUAAUUUAUGUUAAGUUUAAUACGGACUAUUACCAAAAUAAAUAUACAUAAGAUAUAAGGAAAUGAUGAUGCAUGAAAUAUUGAUAUAACAAAAUGAAUGAUAUAUGCUAUGAAGAUAUAGUAAGAGAAUAAUAUAUUUUGUGACAUGUACAUAUAUAAUUAUCUUUGAUAUGUUGAUAUAAGGAAAUUAUGUAAGUUGAGACUAUUAUUGAACUUAAGUGUGAUAUGUUGAGAAAAUAGGUAUAUCAUUGUUGAAUUUAUAUGAAGUAUGUGCAAGUAUACUAACAAUGUUGUUGUAUGAUGCUUAGACAAGUGCCAAGCUAUUGAUUGAAUGGUAACAUGUUUAAUUAUAAGGAGCAUUGAAAUGGUAAGUACUUAGAUGAAAAUAUAAUUUAAGAUUUUGUAAAAAAAUUUUUGAUCCCGAUUCAAUUCCGGUUGGUUUUUAAUGUAUGUUUGGGGCUUCGAGGGCCCAAUAGAGAAACGUUAUGGUUAUUUUCAAAAUAUGAAUAAUAAAUGACUCAAAAUUAUCUGAAAAUGUUUAGUAAACUCCAGUAAUGCCUCGUACCCUAUUCCGGCAAUGGAUACGGGUUGGGGGUGGUACAAUUACUAGCUAUUCCAAUGGCUAGAUUACAAACAUCAUUAUCAAGCCACUAAUGGCCAAGUUGUCCUAUACAUGCCAUUAUACCAAAAUGAUUUUACUAUGUAUACCUAAAAUAACUAGUAGAUAGUGUGACGAUGCUCCAAUGAUCUCCAACCUUCGCGAGCUUCCGAGCACUAUAAAAUAAGGGAAGAUAAAACGGAGUAAGCAUUUCAUGCUUAGUAAGUUCAUAUAAUGGAAAACUAAACUUACUGAUCCUGUUUAUUAAAUGUAAGCAUACAAUAAUACGUUUUCCAUCAACUUGGCAAAAUUGCCCAAAUACAAACACUCAGUCAAACAUGUUAGUCACCAAUUUUCAUAUACAUCAAGAAAACACAGCUGAGCUUAUCAUGCCAUAUUCUUUCAAGGCAUUAUCAUUCUAUCUCAUAAUUCUCUCAUCUUGCCAAGAGUUUUGUCCGUUGAACCAUUGCAGUUCUAAUGGAUGCUCAAGUGGCACACUCUAGGUGUGCAUUCAAUAACCCGUCAAUUCUUUUUCAAAAGUGCCCAUUAGGGCACUUAAUCAAAGAAAACACUCUCGAGCUACAUAUCGCGUAACAAGAUUACCAGUCCACGCUAAAUCCUUUAUAUAACGUAUACUCAGAAGAGCUCAAUUAGGUUACUAGUCCAGGCUAAAUACUAAUUGUAACAUAUACUCGAGAGGUAUUAUAUCAGAAUUACCCGUCCAGACUAAAUCCUUUCUAUAAUGAAGUCAAUAGGAUUACUCGUCCGAGCUAAAUCCCGUCUGCAACAAAUGUAGGACCUCAUUCAUUUUGAGAAAGCACAUAUAUUCAUCAGAAUUCAAUAUUCAAAUGAGACUUAACCCCUUUUUCACCAUUUCAAGCAUGCAUUCAAUUUUUCAUUAUAAUAAUCAACUAAGUCACAUCAAUAUAAGUCACAUUACAUACAAACUCUACAUUCAAUUAACCAUAUUCACAUGCCUUGAUUAAGUUGCACAAACGUACCUCGACACUUGUUCGCGUAUAAAAUCUACUAAUUCGAAACAUUUUUUUUUAGUCUAACCUCGAAUUUGUGUUGUCCGGAUCUAUAUAAAUAACUUUAAUAAUCAAUUUCACAAUUUUCAUAUUCAUUUGGACUCAAUUUAAGUCUUAGGAAAAAUUACCAUUUUACCCCUAACAUUUCCAUAAAUUCUAAUUUCGUCCCUAGGCUCGGAAAAUAAAAUUUAUGCAAUUUACUCCCUAUUCCAAGCCUAACCAAAAUUUCAAUGCAGAGUUUACAGCACAUAUUUUCUAUAAAUUUUAGAAUUUUUCAUCAAUUUUCCAACUUUAUAUUUUAGUCCCUAAAUCAUGUUUUCAUCAAAAAUCACUUUGUAAAAGUUGUUUAUCUAUCAACAACUUUUCAUUUUCUACCAUAAAUUUCUAACUUUUAGCAUAUUCAUCCAUGACCCAUUUUCCAUACUUUGAUAACUUUUCAAAUUGAUCCCACAAAUAGAUAGAUUAACCUAUCCCGGUUUCAAAAAUAUCAAAAUUGCUAAAAACAGGACAAGAAAAC